ACUUGACAAAUAAAAACCGAAUGUUUUAGUUUCCGGACUUGGUACCACAAUCCCAAAGAAUGUCUUAAAUGGAUUGUAUAUGUACCUAAGUAGUCUCAUCCUCACAAUCUUCCUAAUGAUAAUGUAUCAUUGGAAGAACAUGUUAGAAAAAGUCUAUCAUGAAGAGAACAACAACAAACAACCAAUGCUUAUUCCUUCGUUAUAUGAACAAAGGAACUUACGAAGAUUAGCAUAAAGAAAAGGACACUUUUAGUGUUAUUAGUUCUUCACUUACAAAUCGUUGUAUGAAGAAAUAAUGAGUUGUUUUGAACAACCCUUAGUCAAUGCAAACACUUAGUGCUUGUUUCUUUGUUAAAUGAACAAAGAACUUGAGAAGAAAGCACAAAGGCAUGGACACUUAAUGUGCCAUGAUUCUUCACUUACAAUUUGUUGUAUGAAGAAAUGAGAGUUGCCUUGUACAACUCUUGAAAGUUUGUAAUUAUGUUUAGAACAUAAUGGUUGGUUGACAAAAAUAGUCCAUCAACAUGGACUUAUGAUGAUUUUGAAUCAUUGAGUGUUGAAGUGUUAAAACACUUCUAGAGACGGGAACUAGGCAAGGACUUCACCUUUGUGUCCCUAUCCUUAUGGUUCACUAAGUUUAUUGUAAACUAUAUAGUGAACAAUAACCACAUGCUCUCCAAAAUGUUUGAUGUGUAUAACACAAUUGAAAUAAGUUUCAAGAGAGAUAGUGGGAGUUUAGGGACCAUGACUAUUGUAGUCAAAGGAGAAGUCAAAUGAAGAAGAUAAAAUUAACUCCAAGGGAACAAACUUUCUUUAUGAAAGGAUGGACAUUGGAAGGGGUAUUUGCAAGAAAUGUCUUGCAAAUGUCAAGAACACACCUUUCGAAGGUGUUGUAAAUUGUUCUUGAAAAGUUCAAAACAGUUGGUUCUUCUACUUGAAUGCUUGAUUCCGUAUUAGUAACUAUGUUUUACAAUCGUUGUAAAAGUGUGACUAAUAAGAAGUAGAAGAUAUAUGAGAGAAGGAAAAGGUGCUUCACAUUCGGAAAGUGAAUCAAAUAUAGAUCUCUGCGAAAGCAGAUGGUACUUACUUCCUCAUAUGAACUACCAAAGAAAUUGGAAAAACAUAGAUUGUCUUUAUAUUCCAAUUUUAAGGAACUAAAUUCCGUCACUAUGUGAAAUGGAUAAAUGUUUUGUUUGACAAAACAUUGUUCUUUAUUAAUCAAUGAUUGGAUUAUGGUAAUCUAAUUGAUUGUCUCUAUAGUAGAGAUAAUAUGGUGUGUUAACUGUUUAGAACAUAACGAUGCUUAAAACCCAAAAGGUUGCAAGGUAGUGACUAAUCCCAACUAAAGUUGUGAUACCUCUAAAAACAUAAAUUACAAGUUAGUCAUAGAUGGAUACUUUGGAUCGUUAGAUCCGGAUCCAAUGUCCUUCUUGUUAAAAUUGUAUAGAGGCAAAAAAAUGUUUGAAUCUUCAUUCUUUUGGAAAGAAGAAAGAAUCACAAAGUUGUUGAGGUUAAUUCACUUAGAUGUUAGUGGCACUUGUCCACAACAUAAUACUACUCAUGUUGUAUGACAUUCACCGAAGAUCACCCUCGGUUGGACUAUAGUUUAUUUUAAAUAAACACAAGUCCGAAUACUUUGCAAAAGGUUUCAAAGAAUUCAAGAAAUGUAAGUUGAUGAGUAAGACAUCUAAAGUAUUUACCUCCUUAGAUUUGAUCCAAGGAAAAGUAACACUUUAGAUGAGUUUCCUUGAAAGAUAUCAAGGAAAAUAGCAUCAUAAGAUAAUGUAUUUCUCCAUUUGGAGAAGAACAAACUCAAAUAAGAUUUAGUUCGUUAGAUGUUAUCUAUUACCCAUAUAUAGGAUAUAUAUACUUCUAAAAACAAUAUGAUUGUCAAUUAGAAGAUCUUCCAAAUUUUUCAUGACUCCAUAAGAUGUAGUUGGAAAGAAAGACAAAUCUUAAGCAUGUUAAGAUUUGGGGUUGUGUGUUAAUACACAAUAUUUGUUUGAUAACAAUCUUGUAGGAUAUCCUUAAAUUAACUUUUGGAUAUCGCUUCUAUAAACCAACUAACAAAUGUUGUUUUGUUGGGUAGUUCAUUGUAAUCCUACAAUGUGAUUUGCCUAAGAGCAAAUGAACGAAGGAUAGAACUCAAAGAAUGGGUUCUUUGAGAGACAAGAAAGUAAUCAACAAAUAUAACAACCUAGUUCCUAUACCACAAGCUCCAAGGUAGUCGAGAAGGAUUUAUAAACCGUCUCAGUUGAAUGGUUUGAACUUUAUGACUAUGUCAUAGAGUUGCACCUCUUAAUUCGAAAGAAAUAAGAAUGAAAAUCCUUAUGACUACAUUGAGUGCAUAUACGAUAUAUACUCAUGGGAAUGGUAAAGUACCAUUUGACCCGAAAUAAUGAAACCUUCAUAAGCUAAUUGGUAGCUUAAGGUGACUACAAUCAAAGAGAAUGGUUGACUUUGAAGAACCCAUUUUUGACGUAGUCUUAGUUUCAAUUAAUUCGAAGAUUGCUAGCUACAACUUAAAUGGUGAUUCAAUGUUUGGACAUAAUAUAGGGUUUCCGAAACCAUUAUUAAGAUAGUCUUGAUAAUAUAUGUCUAAAACUAUGAAUCACAAGACAUGUAAGUUGUAGAGAUCCAUCCAUCAUGGAUCUUAGCAAGCUAGUGGGAGCUAUAAGCGUCUUAUGAGAGAAAGGUCAAAUCGUUUGCUUUCUCAUAAAGAUGUAAAUGAAUCUUUUGUUUACUAGGUUUACAAAAGAUUAGUGGGAGUUAGUCAUAUUCCUAAAUUUGUAUGUAUAUAUAUAUAUAUAUAAAUAUAUAUGUGAUAUAUAUGAAUGUAUAUAUGAUUUAUUAAUUUUGGAAAUGAAAUGAAUACUUCUUCGUUAAAGUUAUGACUUUAAACAUUCGUUAAAGUUAUGACUUUAAACAUUCUAUAAAGAUAGAAUGUAUAUGGGAGACAUAGUCUAUAUACAUGGGAUGGAAAUCUAUAUUGAUAGAUUUUAGGAUAUAAUUUGGAUUAUAUCAAUCCCUAAUAAUAGACAAAAGAUGCUAGGAAGUUUCUCAUAUGAUGAUAAACUUUAAUCAGAAGAACAACUCUAGUGAGACUAGGAGGUAGCUCUUCUCAAAGGGAACGUACCCUUUGACUCCCAAAGAAAUAAUGCGUAAAUAAGAAUCCUUUAUGCAUACGCAUAAAGGUGAUUUAUGUAUUUCAUAUUGUAUGAAAAACAUUGAUAUGGGUUGUACCUAGAAAGGUACAAGACGAUAUCAGUGCAAGCCCAGGAUCAGAACCAUGGCAACUGUCAAGUGAGUCCUUAAGUAUUUAAGAAAUACUAAAGGAUAGAUUCCUCAAAGAAUGAGGAAGAAUUAGAGUAACGUAAUGGAAGCGUAAAUGUAUUAGAUUAUGAAUCUAAUCCAUCAUUGGAUGUUUCUUCAUUAUGAAUGAAGAGAUAAACAGAUAUCUCUUUAUUAUGACUAAAGAGAUAUUUGGAUGGAAACAUUAAAGUAAUGAACUUUAGUGUGUUCCAUUAUGAAUGCAAGGUAUAUUUGCCAUAUAGAAGUUUGCAACAAUGUUGUUUGGAUGGGAAAGUUCAUUUAUGAACUCUCUAUUCGGUUCCAACCAGAAAGUGUAUCUAGUGUACUGACACUAUGACACUAAUGGGGCGAUAGCUCAAGCCAGGGAAUCAAGGUCUCAUCAAGGUCCGAACUCAUAAUGAGAGACUGAACCACAUGAUUAAGAAUCAUGUAUAAUGGUGACGUCGUUAUUCUCAAGGUUGCUUCUAUGGAUAACAUAUAGAUAUCCAUUGCCUAGGCCUACUAUUCAGCCAUUUAUGAAAUGACUACAAAAAGAGGUAUCAUCACUGAUGACUAAGCUGAUUGGCUCUAGUGCAAGUGGGAGAUUGUUGGAAAUGUGCCCUAAAACCAAUCAUAUGAUGAUACUUUACGGACAUUUCACAUGUUAAACUAAUCUAGUUUAAUAUAAAGGGCAAAGAUUAUUGUUUGAGCCGUCUCAUAUAAAUGUUAUAUGCUUAAACGAUAAAGUCCAAGGAAUAUGUGAUUGGAAGAAUGUAAUCUAAUGAAGUUAGAUUCAUGAGACCAUUCUUUCGUAGACACAUCCUAAAUGUUCCUGAUCAUAGGAUUGCCAAUUGGGCAUUGACAGUCCGUCAAAGAUCGGUACGUGCUAUGUCUUCUCUCAGGGAGAGUGACUAGUCUCGAGUCAUUGGUGUGUGUGUGACAUCAAGACAAGUACGUAGGUGCUCAGUAGAGAAUGAGUUCACUGAACACGAUCAACGAAGAGUUCUCAUACUCAUGUCACAUGAGAACUCAUGUUUGGGAUAAUGCAAAUUAGUCCUUUGACCUGAGGCAUCACAGUUGUCUUGUGGUUAAGUCCUUGAUCUUUGAUUAUGUCAAUGUCACCCCAUCGGGGUGUCCACGGCAUCGUUGGGGUUAAGCCACUUAGUCAUGGAGGCAAGUGAAUGCGCAACAAGGGAUCUCUAACCUUCAAACCGUUUGAGGGAGAAUACUCUAUGAUAUGAUUUAGAAUCUCUGGCCAGAGUAUGAAUGAGAUUUAGAAAAGUCGUUCUAAAAAUCACAUUCAAGGAAAUCAUAUAAGAACACGAAUCACAUUGGAUAGUAGACAUGAAUAAAUAAACUAUCAAACCAAACAAUGUGGUCAGGAGUAUUAGAUUAGAGAAAGACCGUAUUGCAUUUGUAAUCCUAAACUGAAUAGGUUCUUAACCUCUUCUGAUUAGCUUGGGUAACCAUGACAUACGGCUAGGUGUCACUCAUGGUUUGUGGAAGCCCUAAAAGUGUAUUAAUCACUAAAGGGAGAAUUGAAAGUAAGUUUUCAAUUCAUAAUCGAUUUGAAAGAGUUUUGAAUCGCCCACUGCCUCGCUAAAAGGAACCUAAUGGAUCGUACACCGUAUAAGGUGGAGAUGGAUGAAACAAACUAAAUGAGUAAGAACAAUUGAAUAGGUUUAAUUAUUUAUGGCAAGGAUUAAUUAAUAUGUUAAUUAAUCAAACGAAUAAGUUCGUUAAAGACCUCGGGAUAGGUUUUGGACCUUAAGGCCCAAUGGGCUUCGAACGUCAAGCCCAUUGACUUAAGUUGUAUGACAACUUAAUGAAUAUUGAUUCACUAAGACCCAAAAAGCCCAAACAACCCCCCAUGGCCGGCCAUAUAGAGAAAGGGUAGUGAACUUGCUUUAAUUACAAGUUUGCCACUCAAAUGAAUAAAGGUAUAAAUAUGACUUUAUAGCCUUUUAUUCAUUAAGGGUUUGUUUUGGGGAAAAUUGGUGAGAAUUGUCUCUCCAUUUCUCUCUAGAAAAGGCCGGCCACCAUGGAAGUUGUAGCUAGCCAAUCUAUUCUUCCAUGGUCACUCAUUUAUCAUCCAUGCUCUCCUUGGUGUAGAUCCAUCCAAAUCCAUGGAUCUUAGAUGCAAGGAAUGAAGGCCCUAUCUCUUGGGUGAUUAGCCUUUGUUUAAAUACAAAGAGGAAUCUACAAAGGUAUAUAUUUCAACUCACUUUGUUUUGAGUUGAUUAAUGGUUCACCAAUCUACUAGGCUUUGAAUUUCUUGGUUAAUGUUUUGUUUUUAAGUGCAUGCUAGCAUGAUUCCGCCUUUAAUUGUUAAUUGCAUGCUAUAUUGAUGUUGCUUAAAUGAACAUGUUUUCACAAAAUAUUCCUUCAGUAACGUUCUGGGCUCCACAUCAUUUGGCAAUUUGUACUAUAGGUCUAUUUUUCCAUGUUCUUACCAAAUUUUAAUAGAAUUGCCUUUCUCCAUUUUGGCAAUAACUUUUCUUUCCGUCAACAUGUUGGAAAUGUGCCCUAAAGCCAAUCAUAUGAUGAUACUUUACGGACAUUUUACAUGUUAAACUAAUCUAGUUUAAUAUAAAGGGCAAAGAUUAUUGUUUGAGCCGUCUCAUAUAAAUGUUAUAUGCUUAAACGAUAAAGUCCAAGGAAUAUGUGAUUGGAAGAAUGUAAUCUAAUGAAGUUAGAUUCAUGAGACCAUUCUUUCGUAGACACAUCCUAAAUGUUCCUGAUCAUAGGAUUGCCAAUUGGGCAUUGACAGUCCGUCAAGAUCGGUACGUGCUAUGUCUUCUCUCAGGGAGAGUGACUAGUCUCGAGUCAUUGGUGUGUGUGUGACAUCAAGACAAGUACGUAGGUGCUCAAUAGAGAAUGAGUUCACUGAACGUGAUCAACGAAGAGUUCUCAUACUCAUGUCACAUGAGAACUCAUGGUUGGGAUAAUGCAAAGUAGUCCUUUGACCUGAGCCAUCAUAGUUGUCUUGUGGUUAAGUCCUUGAUCUUUGAUUAUGUCAAAGUCACUCCAUCAGGAGGUGUCCACGGCAUCGUUGGGGUUAAGCCACUUAGCCAUGGAGGCAAGUGAAUGCGCAACAAGGGAUCUCUAACCUUCAAACUGUUUGAGGGAGAAUACUCUAUGAUAUGAUUUAGAAUCUCUGGCCAGAGUAUGAAUGAGAUUUGGGAAUGCGUUCCAAAUCACAUUCAAGGAAAUCAUAUAAGCACACGAAUCACAUUGGAUAGUAGACAUGAAUAAAUAAACUAUCAAACCAAACAAUGUGGUCAAGAGUAUUGUAUUAGAGAAAGACCGUAUUGCAUUUGUAAUCCCAAACUGAAUAGGUUUUCUCUACCUCUUCUGAUUAGCUUGGGUAACCAUGAUAUGCUGCUAGGUGUCACUCAUGGUUUGUGGAAGCCCUAAACGUGUGUAAAUCACUAAAGGGAGAAUUGAAAGUAAGUUUCAAUUCACAAUCGAUUUAAAAUGGUUUUAAUCGCCCACUGCCUCGCUAAAAGGAACCUAAUGGAUCGCACACCGUAAAGGUGGAGAUUGAAGAUUAAACGGAGAUGAGUAAGAAUGAUUAAAUGGUUUAAUCAUUUAUUUAUGGCAAGGAUUAAUUAAUAUGUUAAUUAAUCAAACGAAUAAGUUCGUUAAAGACCUCGGGAUAGUUUUGACCUUAAGGCCCAAUGGGCUUCGAACGUCAAGCCCAUUGACUUAAGUUGUAUGACAACUUUAAUGAAUAAAGAUUCACAAAGGCCCAAAAGCCCAAAAAACCCUAAUGGCCGGCCAUUUAGAGGAAUUAGGGUAGUGAACUUGGACUUUAUUACAAGUUUGCCACUCAAAUGAAUAAAGGUAUAAAAUAUGACUUUAUAGCCAAAUUUUUAUUCAUUAAGGGUUUCUUUUGAGAAAAUUGGUGUGAGAACUUGUCUCUCCAUUUUCUCUCUAAAGAGGCCGGCCCCUUGGAGGGUACAUCUAGCAAUCCUACUACUCCAAGGUCACUCAUUUCUUCUCCAAUCUCUCCUUGGUGAAGAGACUUAGAGGUUCUCAAUUUUGGGAACUUGGAGAAACCUAUUCUUCCAUCCAAAUCCAUAGAAGAGCAAGAAUGAAGGCCCUCUCUUUGGGUGAUUAGCCUUUGCUUAUGCAAAGAGGAAUCUACAAAGGUAUAAUUUCAACUCACUUUGUUUUGAGUUGAUUAUUGGUUCACCAAUCUACUAGGCUUUGAAUUUCAUGGUUAAUGUUUUGUUUUUGAAGUGCAUGCAAGCAUGAUUCCGCCUUUAAUUGUUAAUUGCAUGCUUAUAGAUGUUGCUUAAAAUGAACAUGUUUUUCACAAAAUUUUCCUUCAAGUGGUAUCAGAGCCUAGGUCUAGUAGUUGGUGAAUCCUUUUGGGUUUUGUAGUUCAUAGUUUGUGAUUUAAAAGUUGUAAUAUGUUACAAGCUUUAUUCUUGUUUCUUUGAAUGUAAAUUUUGUUAGAAAAUUUGCCAUCUCAAAUGUUGUAGAUGUAGUUCAUAUGAGCAUGAAUAUUGGAGCUAAAAUUUGGUGCCAUGACUUUUGGGGAUUUUCGGCCAAAUCCAAAGGGUGGAUUUUUGGGUUCUUGUUUGACUUGUUAAAAGUGUUUUCAAGUGACUUUUGGAACCCCUAUGUACCCUAGUUUGGUUAGAUGUUAUUUCCCUAAAGUUUGAAUGGUUUUGGAAUGUUUUUGGGUGAAAAAUGUUCAUGGAAAAAUUUUGGUUUUUUCAUGAUGUUCUUCAUUGUUCUUGACAUUUUUUGCCAAGAACAAAAAGGUUUGUGUUUUUGAUUCAAAGUUUUGAUUUAUUUCAUAAAGUUUUGUUUUGUGUUUUAUCAAAUGUUUUAAAUGUGAUUAGAAAUUGUGUAAAGGUGAUGGAAAUGGUGAUGGUGUGUAAAGAAGUACUUCUCUUAUACACACACAUCACUUGCAUGACUUUAAGUCACAUUCCACUUGCAUGAAUUUAUGUCAAAAAUUCCACUUGCAUGAAUUUAUGUCACAAAUUCCACUUGCAAGGCUUUAUGAAAUUGUUGAAAAAAAUUUCAAAAUUUUGUGGACUUAUCUCCACUCCCUUUCCCUCCCUAAAACCGGCCACUCCCUCAAAGUGGAGUACUUUUGGGGCUUUUAUGCAAUUACAUAAAGUUUUGAUACUUUUGUGUAUUUGCACUUUGGCCCAAAAGUUUACGUUUUUACGUUUAGGUCCAAAAACGCUAAAGGACAAAUUGUUUUGCUCCUUUAAUGAAGUUUUUGCAUUUAUUAAAUUUUGGGUUCUAGUUGUAAUUACAUGAAGUAGUGGACUUUUGUGUUUUUACAAAGUGACCCCAAAAGUUUUGCAAUAUAGCCCAAAAGUUGAGGUUAAUUGCUUUAUGGCCCAAAAGUUGUGGUUAUUGCAUGAUUGGCCCAAAUUAGGAUAGAGAACAAAAUUGUUUUGUCUCUUUAAAUGAGAAUUGGAUUUUCAUUUUGUUUAGCUCCAUUUAAAUCAAUUUUAUGGAUACAAAAACCAAAUGAAAAUGUUGCAUUCAAUUUAAUUAGUUAAAGUGUUAAUUAAUUAAAGGGUGAUUAUGAACCUAAGCCUAAUAUAAUUGAGCUAUGUGAAAGGCCGUUUCAAAUUUGUUUGAACCAUGGGAAUGUGUAGAUUAGAUUUUGGUUGUAAUUUGAUUUGAUCAAAUGUUGUAAAAGGGCUUAAGCUCUUCUUUACUUUAAAGUAAUUUGUUUUAUGCAAAUGUUGUAAUGAGCAUAAGCUCACCUUUACUUUGAAGUACUUCUUUCUUGCUUUAUUUGAUAUGCAUGAAAAUGAAGUAGUUGGGUCCAACGCCCCUAAGACAACACGCCUUAAUGUGAUUAAACGCGUAACUAAAAUCAAUCACCAUCCCUAGACCGAGAUUCAACACAAGGCUCGUGUUGAAUCUAAACAAAGGUUCAUAGUCAUCAUCCUAAGGCCCUAAGGCAACUAUAUAGUCCAUCAAAUGAAUGCAAAGUUAUGUUAGUAGUAUCAUAUACUCUUGCUUUAAAAACCGUUUUAUAAGCAUAGUGGGAGUAUUAUAUACAACUAAAAACAAUCAUAUGGACCAAUAGUUGUAAUAGGACCAAAAUUGUUUUAAUAGAGAUUAAAAUGUAUGUUUAUAUGUGAUGAGACCUAAAACCCUCAACCAAACCAUUAUUAAGUUGAUAAGCGUGAGAGUGCUUUGAACACUCUUUCGUGGCCUUCCACCGUGGUAGGCUCCAAUCGUUUGUGACUCGUACACCGGCUUCACCCUAUCAUGGGGGAGUACAAAGUGCGUGCUUACACUCAGGAGGAGUCUAUAUACAUACAUGAUGAAGUGAGGUAGGUAGGCAACGAGUUUAGCCAACAUGAUAUCAAUUCUGAGGCUAUUCUUGAACCCCUACACGAACUAGGCAUGGUGGGAAUGACUUAACUAAGUGCAAUGGAGCCAACAUGAUAUCAUUCUGUGAGGCAUCAUUCUCUAGAGGCCAAAUAAGAUGGGUACUUGCAAGAGUUGUUGCAAAUGAGUAAGCGUACUCUCUCAUUAUUAUUAAUGCUAGCCAACAUGAUAUAUCAUUCUGAGGUGGGCUUGGUAAUAGUGAGUCCUCCCAUAACCUACUAAGAGUUUCCUCCAAAACUCUCGAAUUCCAAUGAGGGAUAUGGAAUUUGCCAAAAAUAGUGGGUGGUGCUAUUUUGAUUUAAAGACCCGAAUCAAAUGGCUUAAAAUCAAUCAAUUUAUAUUCGUUAUGUAUUUGUUUACCAAUAUAUUUGCAAACGCUAUCCAACACUUGACAAAUAAAAGCCGAAAGUUUAGUUUCCGGACUUGGUACUACAAAACCAUAGAUUGUCUUUAAUGGCUUGUAAAUGUACCUAAGUAGUCUCAUCCUCACAAUCUUCCUAUUGAUAAUGUAUCAUUAGAAGAAUAUGUUAGAAAAGUCUAUCAUAAAGAGGACAACACUUUUAAUGUCAUGAUUCUUCAAUUACAAAUUGUUGUAUGAAGAAAUAAGGAGUUGCUUUGAACAACCCUUAGUCAAUGCAAACACUUAGUGCUUGUUUCUUUGUUACAUGAACAAGGAACUUGAGAAGAAAGCACAAAGGCAUGGACACUUUAUGUGCCAUGAUUCUUCACUUACAAAUUGUUGUAUGAAGAAAUGAGAGUUGCCUUGAACAACUCUUGAAAGUUUGUAAUUAUGUUUAGAACAUAAUGGUUGGUUGACAAAAAUAGUCCAUCAACAUGGACUUAUGAUGAUUUUGAAUCAUUGAGUGUUGAAGUGAUAAACCACUUAACGAGACGGAAACUAGGCAAGGACUUCACCUUUGUGUCCCUAUCCUAAUGGUUCACUAAGUUUAUUGUAAACUAUGUAGUGAACAAUAACCACAUGCUCUCCAAAAUGUUUGAUGUGUAUAACACAAUUGAAAUAAGUUUCAAGAGAGAUAGUGGGAGUUUAGGGACCAUGACUAUUGUAGUCAAAGGAGAAGUCAAAUGAAAGAAAGAAAUAAACUCCAAGGGAACAAACUUUCUUUAUGAAAGGAUGGACAUUGGAAGGGGUAUUUGCAAGAAAUGUCUUGCAAGUGUCAAGAACACACCUUUCGAAGGUGUUGUAAAAUUGUUCUUGAAUAGUUCAAAACAGUUGGUUCUUCUACUUGAAUGCUUGAUUCCGUAUUAGUAACUAUGUUUUACAAUCGUUGUAAAAGUGUGGCUAAUAAGAAGUAGAAGAUUAAUGAGAGAAGAAAAAGGUACUUCACAUUCGGAACGUGAAUAAAAUAUAGAUCUCUGCGAAAGCAGAUAGUACUUACUUCCUCAUAUGAACUACCAAAGAAAUUGGAAAAACCAAAGAUUGUCUUUACAUUCCAAUUUUAAGGAACUUAAUUCCGUCACUAUAGUAGAGAUGGAUGAAUGUUUUGUUUGACAAAACAUUGUUCUUUAUUAAUCAAUGAUUGGAUUAUAGUAAUCUAAUUGAUUGUCUCUAUAGUAGAGAUGAUAUGGUAGUGUUAACUGUUUAGAAUAUAAUGAUGCUUAAAACCCAAAAGGUUGCAAGGUAGUGACUAAUCCCAACUAAAGUUGUGAUACCUCUAAAACAUAAAUUACGAGUUGGUCAUAGAUGGAUGCUUUGGAUCGUUAGAUCCGGAUCCAAUACCUUCUUGUUAAAAUUGUAUAGAGGCGAAAUGUUCGAAUCUUUAUUCUUUUGGAAAGAAGAAAGAAUCACAAAGUUGUUGAGGUUAAUUCACUUAGAUGUUAGUGGCACUUGUCCACAAACAUAAUACUACUCAUGUUGGAUAACAUUCACCGAAGAUCACUCUCGGUUGGACUAUAGUUUAUUUUGAAUAAACACAAGUCCGAAUACUUUGCAAAAUGUUUCAAAGAAUUCAAGAAAUGUAAGUUGAUGAGUAAGACAUCUAAAGUAUUUACCUCCUUAGAUUUGAUCCAAGGAAAGGUAACACUUUAGAUGAGUUUCCUUGAAAGAUAUCAAGGAAAAUAGCAUCAUAAGAUAAUGUAUUUCUCCAUUAGGAGAAGAACGAACUCGAAUAAGAUUUAGUUCGUUAGAUGUUAUCUAUUACCCAUAUAUAGGAUAUAUACUUCUAAAACAAUAUGAUUGUCAAUUAGAGAAGAUCUUCCAAAUUUUUCAUGACUCCAUAAGAUGUAGUUGGAAAGAAAGACAAAUCUUAAGCAUGUUAAGAUUUGGGGUUGUGUGCUAAUAAGCAAUAUUUGUUUGAUAACAAUCUUGUAGGAUAUCCUUAAAUUAACUUUUGGAUAUCGCUUCUAUAAACCAACUAACAAAUGUUGUUUUGUUGGGUAGUUCAUUGUAAUCCUACAAUGUGAUUUGCCUAAGAAGCAAAUGAACGAGAGAUAGAACUCAAAGAAUGGGUUCUUUGAGAGACAAGAAAGUAAUCAACAAAUAUAACAACCUAGUUCCUAUACCACAAGCUCCAAGGUAGUCGAGAAGGAUUUAUAAACCGUCUCAGUUGAAUGGUUUUGAACUUUAUGACUAUGUCAUAGAGUUGCACCUCUUAAUUCGAAAGAAAUAAGAAUGAAAAUCCUUAUGACUACAUUGAGUGCAUAUACGAUAUAUACUCAAGGAAAUGGUAAAGUACCAUUUGACCCGAAAUAAUGAAACCUUCAUAAGCUAAUUGGUAGCUUAAGGUGACUACAAUCAAAGAGAAUGGUUGACUUUGAAGGAAACCAUUUUUGACGUAGUCUUAGUUUCAAUUAAUUCGAAGAUUGCUAGCUACAACUAAAUGGUGAUUCAAUGUUUGGACAUAAUAUGGGUUUUCGAAACCAUUAUUAAGAUAGUCUUGAUAAUAUAUGUCUAAAACUAUGAAUCACAAGACAUGUAAGUUGUAGAGAUCCAUCCAUCAUGGAUCUUAGCAAGCUAGUGGGAGCUAUAAGCAUCUUAUGAGAGAAAGGAUCAAAUCGUUUGAUUUCUCAUAAAGAUGUAAAUGAAUCUUUUGUUUACUAGUUUUACAAAAGAUUAGUGGGAGUUAAUCAUGUUCCUAAAAUUUAAUAUAUAUAUAUAUAUAUAUAUGUGAUAUAUAUGAAUAUAUUAUGAUAUAUUAAUUUUGGAAAUGAAAAGAAUACUUCUUCGUUAAAGUUAUGACUUUAAACAUUAUAUGAAGAUAGAAUGUAUAUGGGAGAUAUAGUCUAUAUACAUGGGAUGGAAAUCUAUAAUGAUAUAUUUCAUGAUAUAAUUGGAUUAUAUCAAUCCCUAAUAAUAUAGACAAAAGAUGCUAGGAAGUUUCUCAUAUGAUGAUAAACUUCAAUUAGAAGGACAACUCUAGUGAGACUAGCAAGUUGCUCCUUCUCAAAGGGAACGUACCCUUUGACUCCCAAAGAAAUAAUGCGUAAAUAGAAUCCUUUAUGCAUACGCAGAAAGGUGAUUUAUGUAUUUCAUAUUGUAUGAAAAACAUUGAUAUGAGUUGUACCUAGAACGGUACAAGACGAUAUCAGUGCAAGCCCAGGAUCAGAACCAUGGCAACUGUCAAGUGAGUCCUUAAGUAUUUAAGAAAUACUAAAGGAUAAAUUCCUCAAAGAAUGAGGAAGAAUUAGAGUAACGUAAUGGAAGCGUAAAUGUAUUAGAUUAUGAAUCUAAUCCAUCAUUGGAUGUUUCUUCAUUAUGAAUGAAGAGAUAAACAGAUAUCUCUUUAUUAUGACUAAAGAGAUAUUUGGAUGGAAACAUUAAAGUAAUGACUUUAGUGUGUUCCAUUAUGAAUGCAAAAUAUAUUGCCAUAUAGAAGUUUACAACAAUGUUGUUUGGAUGGGAAAGUUCAUUUAUGAACUCUCUAUUCGGUUCCAACCAGAAAGUGUAUGACACUAAUGGGGCGAUAGCUCAAGCCAGGGAAUCAAGGUCUCAUCAAGAUCCGAACUCAAAUGAGAGACUGAACCACAUGAUUGAGAAUCAUGUAUAAUGGUGACGUCGUUAUUCUCAAGGUUGCUUCUAUGGAUAACAUAUAGAUAUCCAUUGUCUAGGCCUACUAUUCAGCCAUUUAUGAAAUGACUACAGAAGAGGUAUCAUCACUGAUGACCAAGCUGAUUGGCUCUAGUGCAAGUGGGAGAUUGUUGGAAAUGUGCCCUAAAGCCAAUCAUAUGAUGAUACUUUACGGACAUUUCACAUGUUAAACUAAUCUAGUUUAAUAUAAAGGGCAAAGAUUAUUGUUUGAGCCGUCUCAUAUAAAUGUUAUAUGCUUAAACGAUAAAGUCCAAGGAAUAUGUGAUUGGGAGAAUGUAAUCUAAUGAAGUUAGAUUCAUGAGACCAUUCUUUCGUAGACACAUCCUAAAUGUUCCUGAUCAUAGGAUUGCCAAUUGGGCAUUGACAGUCCGUUAAGAUCAGUACGUACUAUGUCUUCUCUCAGGGAGAGUGACUAGUCUCGAGUCAUUGGUGUGUGUGACAUCAAGACAAGUACGUAGGUGCUCAAUAGAGAAUGAGUUCACUGAACGUGAUCAACGAAGAGUUCUCAUAUUCCAUGUCACAUGAGAACUCAUGGUUGGGAUAAUGCAAAGUAGUCCUUUGACCUGAGGCAUCAUAGUUGUCUUGUGGUUAAGUCCUUGAUCUUUGAUUAUGUCAAAGUCACUCCCAUCAGGAGGGUGUCCACGGCAUCGUUGGGGUUAAGCCACUUAGCUAUGGAGACAAGUGAAUGCGCAACAAGGGAUCUCUAACCUUCAAACCGUUUGAGGGAGAAUACUCUAUGAUAUGAUUUGAAUCUCUGGCCAGAGUAUGAAUGAGAUUUAGGGAAUGCGUUCCAAAUCACAUUCAAGGAAAUCAUAUAAGCACACGAAUCACAUUGGAUAGUAGACAUGAAUAAAUAAACUAUCAAACCAAACAAUGUGGUCAAGAGUAUUAGUAUUAGAGAAAGACCGUAUUGCAUUUGUAAUCCCAAACUGAAUAGGUUCUCUCUACCUCUUCUGAUUAGCUUGGGUAACCAUGAUAUGCUGCUAGGUGUCACUCAUGGUUUGUGGAAGCCCUAAACGUGUGUAAUCACUAAAGGGAGAAUUGAAAGUAAGUUUCAAAUUCACAAUCGAUGUAAAAUGGUUUUAAUCGCCCACUGCCUCGCUAAAAGGAACCUAAUGGAUCGCACACCGUGUAAAAGGUGGAGAUUGGAAGAUUAAACGGAGAUGAGUAAGAAUGAUUAAAUGGUUUAAUCAUUUAUUUAUGGCAAGGAUUAAUUAAUAUGUUAAUUAAUCAAACGAAUAAGUUCGUUAAAGACCUCGGGAUAGUUUUGACCUUAAGGCCCAAUGGGCUUCGAACGUCAAGCCCAUUGAACUUAAGUUGUAUGACAACUUUAAUGAAUAAAGAUUCAUUAAAGCCCAAAAGCCCAAAAACCCCUAAUGGCCGGCCAUUUAGAGGAAGGGUAGUGAACUUGGACUUAUUUACAAGUUUGCCACUUAAAUGAAGUAAAGGUAUAAAUAUGACUUUAUAGCCAAAUUUUAAUUCAUUAAGGGUUUCUUUUUGGGGAAAAUUGGUGAGAAUUGUCUCUCCAUUUUCUCUCUAAAGAGGCCGGCCCCUUGGAGGGUACAUCUAGCAAUCCUACUACUCCAAGGUCACUCAUUUCUUCUCCAAUCUAACCCUUGGUGAAGAGACUUAGAGGUUCUCAAUUUUGGGAACUUGGAGAAACCUAUUCUUCCAUCCAAAUCCAUGGAUCUAAGAAGCAAGGAAUGAAGGCCCUCUCUUUGGGUGAUUAGCCUUUGCUUAUGCAAAGAGGAAUCUACAAAGGUAUAAAUCUCAACUCACUUUGUUUUGAGUUGAUUAAUUGGUUCACCAAUCUACUAGGCUUUGAAUUUCUUGGUUAAUGUUUUGUUUUUAAGUGCAUGCUAGCAUGAUUCCGCCUUUAAUUGUUAAUUGCAUGCUUAUAGAUGUUGCUUAAAUGAACAUGUUUUCACAAAAUUUUCCUUCACAACAAACAAAAGAACGUGGCUCAAUAUCAACUCAACUCAUUGAUGAAUUUAGUAGCGACUGUAAAACCAAAUUAACAUUGGUAGUCAUCAAUUCGUGAUCCCAUAAUUCUCAUGUGCAUACGCAUUUCAUUACUUUGCAUAUCCUUGCCUCUUCAGGGGCUUUACAUUGUCUCUUCUAGGACAAUCAUCUCUUAUUAGAUGAAUUGUUUGGAGAAUUUGGAUCAUAACCUCCUCUAGAGCAUUAUAGAGCCUGGAUUUUUAAUCUCCACUUCUAGGGAGUUGAAUCAUUGGAACAUAUACAUCCAUCAUGAUUCAGGCAUGAGAUAUAUUAAAAUUGCCAUGUCCAUGGAUUAUCUUUUUGGAACUUGAAUCCAUGUGGAGACUGUCAUGCUUCGGGCAUGCAAUAGUUUUGUAGUGCCAAGUCCAUGGGUAGUCUUAUUGAAACUUCAAUCCAUGCGACAUCUUUGUAACUUGUAGCAAUUUUCAAAAUUUGGUUUACCUUUUCAUACAUUAUGUGAAUGAUAUAAACUGGCAGAGUUUGUUGGGGCUAUGAGUAGGAUUCCCAUCAUUGAAUUUUGAUAUUCCACUCACUUGGUCAGCCACUCAUUCUUUCUCUUGCAUAAUCGCACUGGUGCACAACCUUUGCCUUUGAAUGAUCUUUCAAAACCAUCACUUCUCAUUGACUCAUCCAUGGUUGAUAGCUUCAAUGUAAAGAGCCAACAAUGUGCCAACUGUUCUACGACGUUAGUGACUUGAAACCCGGCUCUAAGAACAGUUGAAGAUGAUUACUAGAAAGCAAUGCCAAGUACGCAAUAUGGAAAAGGUUCUAGGAAAUCGGUUCCAGACCGGAAGUUUGAUUUCAGGUUUUGACUGAUCUCUCUCUUUCUCAUUAUCUUGCAGGUAAAAGCAAGGGCAAAGGAAAAGACAGGGAAAAAACAUUAUAUGAGAUACUUUUGCUCUCGACCCUGAAGAUAUGAGAUACUUUUACACUUGAAGAAACCGGUAGAGGAUUUUGAAGUUGAUGUAAAACUUCUCUAUCACAAAUGUUUUCUUACAAAGGAAAUGAGUUGGGUAUUUUGAGCGACUUAGUUGGAGAAAUAUUCUUCAAGAGGAUGAAAAGCUGAGUAUUUUGAGAGGCUUGGUUGAAGAUGCAUUCUCAUGAAGGAGGAAGAGUUAGGCAUUUAUGAAGCUUUGACUUGCUAUGGAGGAUGGAGAUCGACAUAUAUAGGGAUUUCCCAAUAAUAGGUAGUGGUGUUGUUGAGACCAUCUCCUUCAUUCUUGUCGAUAAUAGUGGUCCAGUUGGAACAGUAAAAUUUAUGGGUUUCAACUUUGUCAUACACAUUUUGAUAGGGUUAUCCUAUCUAAAAAGCUAAGAUUGCGUCUGAGAAGUGCCAAUGAAAUUAAUUCAAGAAAAUCCAACUUUUGAAAUUCAAGGAGCGGUUUUUCUUUGAUUUUUGAACAAGUGGCCCUGUUGCCUUUUCUUUUAUAGAGGCAUCAAUUGUAUUCAAAUACACACUCAGAAAGUUGCCAGCCUAUGAAAAUUGCUUUUGUUGUAUUUUGUGAGAUUUCAAUUCCUCAAACCUCCUUUUCUUUCAUCAUUUAUGAAAAUGGCUUGCCCAUCUAACCGUUGUUUCAAUUUGAAUGUUGUUGGAAGAUGCAUACAUGUCUCUUGAAGAAAAUAUAUGGCGCAUGUUGAGCAAAAAUUGUUACGAGAACAAGUAAUUUACUCGACACAGUUUCACCCUCAUUCGUUUUUUCAAAGAGGGUUUUAUUAAUGUUGAGUUCGAAACAUUCUAGGCUAUGUGGCUAUUAAUUACAAGCCUUCCUUUCGAAAAGGAAUACCCUUUGAUUCUAAUAUGAAAAAAUAUGAAAUUUGAGGAUUGAUGUGUUUGUUUGAUUUUGCAACUGCAUCUAGGUCGAGCCCUAGAUUGCUUACGUACCCUUUUAAGGGAUCAAGUCACUCGUAGUUCAUGAUUUGGUAUUUAUAUUUUUAGUGAGUGAGUGACCCACUAAAAAAGAUUUUGAGUUUGAUCUAUUUUAAUGAAUUUGGCUAAAUGAACCAAGGAUUCAAUUUGAUAUUUCGGUUUUGCGGUUGUGUCUAGAAUGUGAAACUAGACCACCUACGGAACCUCGACGGAAUCAAACCGGCGUAGUUCGGAAUAUAUUGUGCAGCUUCGUGCCAUUUGAGAUUUGAUGUGGCUUCGUGCCAUUUGAAAUUUGAUGCAGCUUCGUGCCAUUUGCGGUUUUGAUGUAAAUUUUGUAGCUAGUUACUUUCGCGAAUUUGAUGUUGAUGACGUUGUUUCCAUGACUUUUAUCUUUGGACAACUCGAGUGUAGCAUGCCUUCGUCAUGUCAUUUUGUCCCUGGACUAAUUUAACUUAUGGGGCCCAUGUUUAUCAGGCCCACCUUAAUUUAAGUUGAGCCUGCAACUUUUCUUUGGUCUCCACAUGGUUAGUUACAUUCCCACUUAAUUUGGAACUUUAUUUGCAGCAAAACCUCCUAUCUUUGCAGGAUUUAUCCCAUGCUGGCCGAUUAAUAAGGAAAUUAAUUAUCUCUAUUUUGCUGGUCAAAUGUCCCCAAAAAUCUUAGAAUUUCCUUUAGGAGUCUUACUUGAAUAUCCUUUUUGGAUGUGAUCAUUGGUAGGAUUCUUUAUUUGAUUCGAACUCCUUUCUUUCUUAUCCAUUUUUUGCCCUUAAAAUGUGAAGUUCAUCAACACUUCCUUCACGCCACUUUUAGUUUGCUUGUUCCUCUCCAGAAAAGUGUAGUCUUUAAGGUAAGGUAGGUAUUGCUUCUUUCAUUCUUUCUUUGAUUUUGGAAUGAAUUGGCACUUCACGAGCAUCUUAUUUUCCUGAUUUGAUUUAUUGUAGGUACCCUUGACGUUGAAAUCUUGGAUGCGGAAGUUUGCGUAGUCCCUCGAAAAGCAUGGUGAGAUUUCUUUUCUUCUUCUGGUGUGAAAUUAACUAGCACUCAAAUUAAACCCUCUUUUUAUCAAUUGUAGCAAUGUAUGUAAGUAGGGAUCGUUCUAGACCGGGGAUUAGGAGGGAUUGCAAAAUCACUUGGAAUUGACUCAAAUACGUAAGAACAAGUUUAAAAUACUAAACUAGACUCAAAGAAUGCAAAACUAAACUCUAAAACACUAAAACAAACCAAAAGACUCAAAACAGCCCCAAAACACUCAAAACUGCCUUAAAAACACAAUCUGGGCAGUUUUGAACACUAGACACAAAAUUGGACGAAAAUUGGUUUUAACUUGACCUAAGACACUUAAAAACACAAACUAAACACUUACUAACUAAUUUUGACACUUUAAAACAAAGGGGGAUUGGUUUUGGACGAAUUUAAAAACAAAACAAACUUUGUAAAUUAGAACAGAUUGUAAAAACGAAUUUGAUUUAAAUGGGUGAAUGGAAGGCUAGCUAAGGGGUUCAUCUCCACACAUGUUAUACUUGCAUACAAAACGAUUUCCAAUUGCUUUUCAAUAAACCAUGAAUUCUCAAUGCCCCAAGUUAAUUAGGUCCGCUUAAAUUAACCUUCAGAUUUUCCUAACGUUAUUGAAUUGGAUGAUUGCAUACGACAACCCAAAGCAUUCCCCACAAGUCCCCUACAUGAUUGCAUAAUAGAAAUACAAGCAAGAAUCAUUAAGUUCUAUGAAAACCAUAAGCAUUGACGAAGCACUUGUUACUAUGAUUGCAUGAAACUUAUGCCAAGAAUUUACUUAACGCGAUUGAGAUCAUCAACCUUUACUACUUGUGAAUAUAAUUCCAUAACGAUUAGGUGAAAUUUCCUUAUAUCCUAGCAUUCAAUUUAUGCAUGAUAAUUAAGCGUGCACUCUCAACCAACACACACAAAUCAAUGUAAUUCACAUAGAUAAGUAAAUUGAAUUCACAACUUAUGAAACGCAAUUAGAAGUAAUCAAAUCAUAACGCAAGCAUAAACAUGUAUUUCGAAUCCCCCCCUAGCCAAGGGGGGGUUUAGUUCCUCAUACACACAAAACAAAGAGAAUUGAAUUUAAACAUUGAAAUCAAAGGAAAAGAAACACCUAGAAAUUCCAACGACGCGAACUUGAAUUGCAUGAACUUCCGAGCUUCCUUCUCCUCCUCCUUGGUGCGGCAAAGGGUCUAGGGACAGGUUUAUGGCCUUAGGUGUAUGGAUGCAUGGUUAUGGAUGGAUGUAGUAGUGUUUAGGGGAUGGGGAUGGUGCGGCAAAGGUUAAAACUAGGGAGAAAGGUGUUUGAUGGCUGCGGCAAAGGUGUGGAGAGGGUUGGACGAAUUUCUGAAGUGAAUUGUGAAUUGUGGUGAGUGGUGAUCUGAUUUAGGGGUUAAUAUGAGUAUAUAUAGGCACUUAAAACCCUAGGGUAAUCAGAUAUGGACUUGGAUAACCCAAAUCCACAAGGAAAUAGGUCUAAACAAUCAGAUUUUGCAAGGAAAAAGGGAUAAGGGUGCGGCAGCAAUGGGAUAAGGUGAUAAGGUUUCUAGAAUGGCUUGCAAGGCAAGGAAUUAGGGUAUCUAGAAGCUAGGGUGCGGCACCAAAGUAGGGAUUAAGGAUAGGGCUUCUAGAAAGCCCCAAAACUGAUAGGAAUUGAAUGAAACCCACGGCAAGGAUGGAAACUUUCUAGAAACUUCUCAUUUGUGUCCUACAACACUUAGGAGUCCUUCUAGCAUUAGGAAAACAUGUCUCAAUCCUCUCUUGACUUGGAAUUCUUCUCCUACUUCAUCUUGGAAACCUUUCCUUCUUGGACUUGGAAAUCUUCUUUGUAGCUGCAACUUGAUGCCAUUUGGAUUUAACUUUCCUACUUCGAAUAGGAAACCUUGUUUGAGUAGGAAUCUUCAUUCUUCUAGGAAUCCAUCUUCAACUAGGAAUCCCUCGUAGAUUAGGAAUCCUUCGUUGAUUAGGAUUUCAUCUUUUAAUUAGGCGCUUUCCUACUUCGACUAGGAAACCUUUUUCAAGUAGGAAACAUCAUCUUCAAAUCUUCAAUUUCGUCCAUCCUCUUGGCUCCAAGCAUAUGAUGUCCAUUCCAAGCUCUAAAUUGCUCCAAAAGGCUCCAAAAUGCAUCCUUUUGCAUACUUUGCCCUUAGAACCUGAAAACACAUAAAACUAGCUUAAAAGACUACUUUACUAAAGAAAAACACUAUAAAUGCACAAGAACAAGCUAAACUAAGGCGCAUAAAUAUGCUCCUAUCAUCUUCCUUCCUGAUUUAUUUUUUCCUUUGCUUUUCUUCUAUCUUUUUCUUUCUUUUAUCUUGCUUGUAGUGCUUGGGCAUUAGUCCCUCCCAAUAGCCUCUCUGCUUUAUUUGAAAAUGCAUGUUCACCCUCAUGCGGAGUGAUUUGGCGACCAAGAGUAUUCCUACAUUGCCAUGCUUUUUUUGGCUUAUGGUAGUCUGCAUAGAUCAAAACGAAAGCUGAGCACAGGGUUGAAGGAUGGCACAAAGUGCGCAUCAAGCUUUUUCCUGACACUUGUAUUUUGAGACUCAGCUUUUUUAUUUGGAAUCCGUGAAGAGGAAGACGGAGAGUUGGGGCUACUCCUACUUUGUCCGUAUCUUGGAGGCCACAACAUUUGCCAACUUCUUAGGAGAGGUGCAACAGUUGUGUGUUAUAUGAAGGUACUCGCUGGAGGGCCUGCGAAUUUGCUUGUUGGGCUCGCAGAUUGAAGAUGGCGAAUUGCCACAACAAUGAAGUACCAAUUUUUCAUCUAUGGGCUCUUGAAGAAUGGAAUUUCGCGGCUGCCUUCGGGGAUCUGCAACUCUAGGGGCUUGAUCACAAUGGUGCCGUUGCCAUCUGUUGGUGCUUAACCUCUUUGAGCUGAUUUCUUCGAGCCAAAGUUAAGAGUUUUUGAAUUCUAUUUUUAUAAGGCUUAAUUGGGAUGUAAUGAGAGUAGUUGGUUUUGGAAGUAUGCCCACAAAGCCACUCAUUUGAUGUAAUAGCUUUUGGAAUACUUAUUGUAUUAAACUUUUAUAUGUUUAAUGAAGGGCAAAGCUUAUUGUUAAUCAUUAUUUAUUGUAUCUUGUGUUUAAGCAAUAAGGGAAUCCAAGAAAUGUAUUUGAUCUAAGAGAUAAGUGAUUUAAGUAAGUUAGAUUAACGAGACCUUUCUCUUAUGUUCAUUCCUAAAACGUUCCUAGCCAUAGGAUUGCCAAUUGGGCAUUGACAAUCCGCUAAGGUUAGUAUGUGUUAUGUCGACUCAAGCGCGAGUAUGACAAGUCUCAAGUCAUUUAGUGUUGGACACUAAGACAAACACAUAGGUGCUCGAAAGAGUAAUCGAGACACUGAACAACGAUCAAAAGAGAGUUCAAACAUACAUGUCAUGUAAGAACUCGAUAGUUGCAAUAUGCAAAGUAGUCCUUUGACCUGAGGCAUCAUAAAUGUCUAAUGGUUAGGUCCUUGAUCUUUGAUCAUGUUAAAUGGCAUUCCAUUGGAGUGUCCACGACAUUGUUGGGAUCAAGCUAUCUAGUCAUGUAGGCAUAUGAAUGCACAACAAGGGAUCUCUAACCUUCCAUGGUGGAAGGAGAAUAUUCUAAGAUAUGAUUCGAGAGUCUUUGGCCAAAGCAUAUGAAUAUGACUUAGGAAGUUUGUUCCAAAUCAUAUUCAACAGAAUCAUAUGGAGAAGUAUCACAUUGGAUAGUAGACAUGAAACAAGCUAUCACUCAAACAAUGUGAUUAAGAGUAUUGUAUUAGAGAAUGACCGUAUUGCAUUGUAGUUGUAACUGGAUAGGUUCUCCAACCACUUCUACUUAGCUUGGGUGACCAUGAUAUGCUGCUAGGUGUCACUCAUGGGUUGUGGAAGCCUUGAAGAUUAGCAAACACUAAUCAAAGGGAGAAUUGAAAUGUUGUUUCAAUUCACAAUCGAUCGUUAAGAGUAACAAUCGCCCACUGCCUCGCUAAUUGGAACCUAAUGGAUCGUACACCGAGUAAGGGUGAAAGUGAAGAAAUAUAAAUGAGAUGGAUAAGCAAUUAAAUGGUUUAAUUGAGAAUGGUCAAGAUUAAUUAAUUAGUUAAUUAAUUUUACGAAAGGUUCGUAUUGGGCUUUUAAGUUGGUUUUGGGCUUCGGUGCUCAAAAGCGUUUUAGUCCACAAGGUCCAUUAUGUUUAAGUUGUAUGACAACUAAAACAAAAUGGGCAAUUAGCCCAAUAACAAAGGUAAGGCCGGCCAUAAGGGUGAGGGUAGCAAACUUGGAUUAAUUACAAGUUUGCCACUCACUUGAAAUGAAGUAUAAAAUCAACUUUAUAGCUUUAUUUCUCAUUAGGGUUUUUCUUGGUGAAAUGAGGUGAAACACUUUCUCUCAUUUUCUCUAAAGAGGCCGGCCACUUAGAGGGGAUUUAGCUAGCAAUCUUUUCUUCUCUAAGUCAUCCAUUUCAUCUUCACACUUCAUUCUUGGUGUGGAGACUUAGAGACAUCAAGCUUUUGAUGUUUUGGAGAACUAAUCCUCAAAUCCUCAAAGAAGCAAAGGAGCACUAAAAGGAGGAAAAUCACAAGGAAGAUCCAAGGAGCAAGGAGGUGACUUGAAGGCCCUCCACUUGGGUGAAUCCCUUGUGUAAUCAAUGAUGAGCUUCAAGGGUAAAGAAACUCUAAAUCUUACCUUCUCUUUCAAUGAUGUUAAAGAGUUUAUUGGUUUACCAUAUGCUAGGCUUUGAAAGUUAUGGGUUUUAUGAAUUGUUUUUGAAUGCAUGCCUACUUUAAUGUGUUAAUAGUUUGCAUAUGUAUUCAAAUGUUCUUACUUGUUCUUAGCUAGGACAAAUUUUUUCCUUCAAGUGGUAUCAGAGCCUAGGCCUAGUUUAUGGUGAAUCCUUUUGGGUUUUGUGAUUUUCAUGAUUUGUGAUUUAAAUGUUGUAAAUGUUACAAGCUUUGUUCUUGCUUUGAAUAUAAAUUUUGCUUGAAAAUUUAGCAUCUCAAAUGUUGUAGAUGUAUUUCAUUUAAGCAUGAAUAUUGGAACUGAAAUUUGGUGCCAUGUAUGUUGGGAAAUUCGGCCAAAUCCAAAGGGUGAUUUUUUGGGUUCUUGUUUGUCUUGUUAAAAUGGUUUUAAGGUGACUUUUGGAACCCCUAAGUACCCUAGGAUGUUAGCCCUCUUUUGAGUUGUAAAAAUUUGAGUUUUAAUGAGUGAAAACAUUCAUGGAGCUCUUAUGAGUUUUCAUGUGUGUUCUUCAAUGUUCUUGAGUUUCUCACCAAGAACAAAAAGGUUUGGAAUUUUGAUUCAAAGUGUUUGGUGUUUUAAUAAAGUUUUAGUUUAUUUUGAAAGGUGAUGGAUGAUUGGUGAUGGGUGAUUAAAGCCUUUAAUGUUUCACAAAACAUUUUCUUACAACUUACACCAAUCACCCUUUUUCCUCACCUACCUAUUCCACUUGCAUAUUGCAGAUGCAUGCACCACUUGCAUAAAACCCUUUCACACUCCUUUACUACUCUAAAACGGGCCACCCCCCAGUGGGGGUACUUUUGGGGCCUUUUAUGCAACUACAUAAAGUUUUGAUACUUUUGUGUAUUUGCACUUUGGCCCAAAAGUUUACGUUUUUACGUUAAGGCCCAAAAACUCUAAAGGACAAAUUGUUUUGAUCCUUUAAUGAUGUUUUUACAUUAUUAAAAUUUUGGGUUCUAGUUGAAAUUACAUGAAGUUGUGGACUUUUGUGUUUUUUCAAAGUGACCCCAAAAGUUUGUGUUUUUGCAUUGUGGCCCAAUUGUUGUGGUCAUAGUUUCCUUUUGGCCCAAAUAAAAUGAGAACAAAAUGGUUUUGUCUCUUUAAUGAGAAUUGGAUUUUCAUUUCAUUUAGUUCCAUUUAAAUCAAUUCUAUGGAUCCAAAAACCAAUUGUUUAAAGUUGUUUUCUUAGUUAAUGUGAUUGAUUAAAAAAAAAGGGUGAUUAUGAACCAAAGGCCUUGAUAAUUGAGCUAUGUGAUUGGCUGCUUUACAUUAUGAAUGUUUGGGUUUGGUAGUAUAGAUUUGAAUGUAAUUUGAUUAAUUCAAUUUGUUGUAAAUGGACAUAAGUCCAUCAUUUGUGUUGUAAAAGGGCAUAAGCCCUUCUUAUUAUUUCAUGUAUUCCUAUUUGUUUAAUUGUAUGCAAAUUGGAAUAGUUGGGUCCAACGCCCAAUAGGAAAUAACAGUUUAAUUGGAUUAAACGCGUAACUAAAAUCAACAACUCUCUACCUUAAACCCAAGGUCCAACACAAGGCUCGUGUUGGAUCAAAUCAAACGGUUCAUAAUCAUCCUAAAACCUAAUAUGACUUUAUAGUCCAUAUGAGGAUGCAAUGCGUUCGUUAGUAGUUCCAUAUAGUCUCGCUUGUUUCAACGAAACAGUGGGAGUAUUAUAUGCUACUAAUUCAUAUUAACUUGGACCAAUAGUUGUGAUAGGCUCAAGUUCUUUUAAUAAGAUUAAAAUGAUUUUGAUGUAGCCCAACACUACUCCCUCAAACAAAAUGAAUAUUAAGUUGAUAAGCAAGAGAUGUUUUGAACAUCUCUUCGUAGGCCUUCCACCGUGGUGGGCUUCAAUCGUUUGUGACUCAUACACCGUAUUCGUCCAGUUCUGGGGUAUGCAAAGUAUGUGCUUACAUUUAGGAGAAGCCCAUAAACAUAUGAUGAAGUGAAAGUAGGCAACGAGUAUGGCCAAUAUGAUAUUCUUCUGAGGCCAUUCUUGAACCUCUACUUGAACUAGCAUGGUGGGAAUGACUUAACUAAGUGCAAUUGUGCCAAUAUGAUAUUCUUCUGAGACAUCAUUCUCUAGAGGCCAAACUAGAUGGGUAAUUACAAAAGUUGUAAAUGGCUAAGCGUUAUCCUCUCAUCAUUAUUGUUGCUAGCCAAUAUGAUAUUCUUCUGAGGUGGGCUUGGUAAUGGUGAGUCUCCCAUACCCCGCUAAGAGUUCAAUAUAACUCUCGAAUUCCAUUGAGGGAUGUGGAAUUUGCCAAAAAUAGUGGGUGGUACUAUUUGAUUUAAGACCCAAUCAAGUAGUUUUAAAACAAACAAUCUAAUACGAUUUCUGUUAUGUUAUGUAGUUAACAACAUGCCUAAAAUAAUACCCACCAUUAUACUUGACAAAAGGGGCCUUAGGGGCCAACGUUUCCUUGCUUGGUAUCGCCACAUUGAGAAUGUCUCAAAGGUGAAAGACAUAUUGUAUGUGCUUAAGCAAUCCCCUCCUCAUAUACCUCCUACGAAACUAGCUUCAAAGGAGGAGUGUCAAAAUUAUGUUAGACACUAUGAGGAUGACUUACAAGCCAAAUGCUUAAUCCUCACUUCACUUAGUGAGGAGCUUAUGAAGCUACAUAAGCACAUGGACACUUCUUGUGCCAUGGUUGAAAGUUUGCAUAAGAUGCAUGACAUUAAGAUUAAUAAUGUACGAUUCUCAAAUGUUUGUAGUCUAAUGAAUGCCAAAAUGGCAAAGGGGACAUCAGUCCAUAAACAUGGACAAAAGAUGGAAAGGAUCUUUCAAGAUCUUGAAAGUUUAGGAACUUCCAUCGAUGGGAAAAUGGCCCAAGGCUUUUUCCUUGCAUCUCUCUCGGAUGAUUUCACUAAGUUUAUUGUAAACUAUAAAGUGAAUAGAUUCGAUCAUUCUUUAAACGAGAUGAUUGACAUGUGCUGUAAAUUUGAAAAAGGUUUCAAAAUGAACAGUGGGAGUGAGAAUGCAAACACAAGGAAAAGGUUGCAUAAGAAGAAAGCAAAGAAAUCCAAAGGAACAUGUUUUCAUUGUGGAAAGGAUGAACGUUGGAAGAAGAAAUACAGGGUGCGCAUUGCGAGCCUUAUGACACGAACUUUUGAAGAGACUAUUUCAGUCAUAGAGAGUGCUUUUACAGUGAGCUCCAAUUCCUAGAUAUUUGAUUCAGGCGCUAGUCAACAUAUCUGCAAUACGUUGCAGGGACUAGCAGGGAGCAGGUCACUGCGCAAUGGGGAGAUGGUUGUGCGAGUUGGGAACGGCACUAAAAUCUCUGCAAAAGCAAUAGGCACCUACAUGCUUAAACUACCCUCUGGGGAAGUCCUAGAACUUAAAAAUUGUUUCUAUUUUCCUUCAUGCAUAAAGAAUUUGAUUUCUAUCUCUAAGCUUUUACGAGAUGGGCACUCAGUAUUGUUUGACAAAAUGAGUUGCACUUUAUACUUGAACGGUCGUAUUAUCUCUCAUGGUAAUAUGAUAGAGGGACUUUUUCACCUAGAAACGAAUAGUGGGAUGCACUGUAUUGAAAGCGGGAAUACCUCAAAACCCAAAAGGGCUAGAGAAGAAGUUAACCAAGAAAAGAUGUGGCAUCUUAAACUUGGACAUGUGAACCUUGAUAAGAUUCGCAAGAUGUCGAAAGACGGAUAUAUCCGCCCAUUAGGUAAUGACCAGAUGGGUACUUGUGAAUGUUGCUUGAAAGGGAAGAUGACCAAAUCUCCAUUCACUGGAAAGAAGAGCGUGCCACUGAAAUUCUAGGGUUAAUCCACACUGACGUAUGUGGACCUAUGUCUACUACGUCGAGAGGAGGCUUCUCCUACUAUAUCACAUUCACCGACGAUCACUCUCAGUUUGGCUAUGUGUAUCUUAUGAAGUACAAGUCAGAAUCCUUUGAAAGGUUCAAAGAAUUCAAGAAUGAAGUUGAGAAGCAAACUGGGAAACAGAUAAAGACCCUAAGAUCGGAUCGAGGGGGUGAAUAUCUGAGUAACGAGUUCCUAGAUUAUCUCAAAGAGUGUGGAAUAGUAUCACAGUGGACUCCACCAGGAACUCCUCAGCAUAACGGAGUUUCUGAACGGAGAAAUCAAACCUUGAUGAAUAUGGUUCGUUCUAUGAUGAGUUCUGCCAAUCUACCAGUAACAUUCUGGGGAUACGCUCUAUAUAAGCAGCUUACUUGCUUAAUAGAGUACCUUCCAAGUCAGUUUCACAAACGCCAUAUGAGAUAUGGCAUGGCAAAAGCACAAAUCUUAAUCAUAUUAGGAUUUGGGGUUGUCCGGCUUACGUUAAAAGGCUUGAAGCUGACAAGCUUGAAGCAAGAUCUGUUAAGUGCUACUUUGUGGGGUAUUCCAAACAGAUUUUGGGAUAUGAAUUUUAUAACCCUGACGACAAGAAAGUCUUUGUCGCCAGAACUGCUAUGUUCCUUGAGGACGAAUUCGUUCUCAAUGGAAGUAGCGAGAAAAUGAUAGAAUUGAAGGAAAUUAAUGAGAUUAAUGAUGAACCACAAACAAGCACUCAACAGGUUGACAACCCUGUUCCUGAACCCCUAGCUCCACGUAGAUCUGAACGGGUUAGUAAGCCACCUAAGAGGUAAGGCUUAGACAAUGACUUUGCGGAAUUGCACCUUCUAGGUGACAAUGACACAAAGGAGGACCCUAGGGACUACACUGAAGCAAUGUCCGACAUUGAUUCAAAGAGAUGGCAAGAAGCCAUGAAAUCCGAGAUGGAUUCCAUGUAUCAAAAUUAGGUCUGGACUCUUGUAGACCUUCCAGAAGGUAUAGUACCUGUUGGAAACAAAUGGGUCUUCACGAGGAAGAUAGGCGUUGAUGGGAACGUGGAGACUUAUAAGGCUAGACUAGUAGCCAAGGGUUACAGGCAAAGAGAAGGGAUUGACUAUGAAGAAACUUUUUCUCCUGUAGCCAUGAUUAAGUCCAUUCAGAUUUUGCUUGCUAUAGCUGCGUACCAUGAUUAUGAAAUCUGGCAAAUGGACGUGAAGACGGCCUUUCUGAAUGGCUACCUAGAGGAAGAGCUUUAUAUGGCUCAACUCGAUGGUUUCGUGUCCAAGUCUGAAAAGACUAAGGUAUGCAAGCUUCAGAGGUCCAUUUAUAGACUUAAGUAAGCCUCAAGGAGCUGGAACAUUCGUUUUGAUACUGAAAUCAAAUCGUUUGGUUUUACUCAAAACGAAGACGACAAUUGUGUUUAUCAAAAGGUCGUAGGGGAUGCAGUUGUGUUCCUAGUGUUGUAUGUAGAUGACAUAUUACUAUUCGGGAAUGACAUUGCAGUACUUUCUUCUGUAAAAGUGUGGUUGUCCAAAACCUUCCACAUGAAAGAUUUAGGAGAUGCAUCUUAUGUACUUGGGAUAAAGCUCUAUCGUGAUAGAUCCAAAAGACUAAUUGGAUUAUCCCAAUCUAUGUACAUUGAUAAGGUGCUAAGUAUGUUCCAGAUGGAACAAUCUAAGAAAGGUUUUCUUCCUGUUAGACAUGGAAUUCACCUUUCUAAGUCCAUGGGACCUAAGACUCCUGAAGAGAUACGGCAAAUGAAUGUUAUUCCUUAUGCGUCUGCCAUAGGGAGUCUCAUGUAUGCCAUGAUAUGCACAAGGCCAGAUAUUGCGUAUACUGUGAGCAUAACUAGUCGAUAUCAAUCUAACCCAGGAUCAGAACACUGGGCAGCUGUCAAGACGGUCCUUAAGUACUUAAGAAGAACUAAGGACAUGUUCCUCGUUUAUGAAGGAGCGACAGAGUUGCAAGUGGAAGCCUAUACAGACGCAGAUUUCCAAUCUGACGUCGAUGAUAAAAGUUCCAACUCCGGAUAUGUAUUCACUCUGAAUGGUAGGGCUGUUAGCUGGAAAAGCAAGAAACAAAGUGUAAUUGCUGAUUCCACGACGGAGGCAGAAUAUGUCGCUGCAGCUGAAGCCGGCAAAAAAGCGUUCUGGAUGAAAAAGUUCAUUACUGAACUUCAAGUGGUUCCAACCAUUACAUCACCAGUAACUUUGUACUGUGAUAAUAGUGGGGUGAUAGCUCAAGCCAAGGAACCCAGGGCUCAUCAAAAGAACAAGCAUUUUGACAGGCGCUUUAAUAUCAUUAGAAGAUAUGCUAUCGAGGGGAAAGUCAACAUCCUCAAAGUUGCCUCAGCCGAUAACGUAGCAGAUCCACUGACGAAGCCAAUGUCUCAAAUCCAACUUGACCGCCAUAUGGAAAAGAUGGGUAUUAGAUACAUGAGAGGAUGGCUUUGAGUGCAAGUGGGAGAUUGUUGGAAGUAUGCCCACAAAGCCACUCAUUUGAUGUAAUAGCUUUUGGAAUACUUGUUGUAUUAAACUUUUAUAUGUUUAAUGAAGGGAAAAACUUAUUGUUAAUCAUUAUUUAUUAUAUCUUGUGUUUAAGCAAUAAGGGAAUCCAAGGAAUGUAUUUGAUCUAAGAGAUAAGUGAUUUAAGUAAGUUAGAUUAACGAGACCUUUCUCUUAUGUUCAUUCCUAAAACGUUCCUAGCCAUAGGAUUGCCAAUUGGGCAUUGACAAUCCGCUAAGGUUAGUAUGUGUUAUGUCAACUCAAGCGCGAGUAUGACAAGUCUCAAGUCAUUUAGUGUUGGACACUAAGACAAACACAUAGGUGCUCGAAAGGGUAAUCGAGUACACUGAACAACGAUCAAAAGAGAGUUCAAACAUACAUGUCAUGUAAGAACUCGAUAGUUGCAAUAUGCAAAGUAGUCCUUUGACCUGAGGCAUCAUAGAUGUCUAAUGGUUAGGUCCUUGAUCUUUGAUCAUGUUAAAUGGCAUUCCAUUAGAGUGUCCACGGCAUUGUUGGGAUCAAGCUAUCUAGUCAUGUAGGCACAUGAAUGCACAACAAGGGAUCUCUAACCUUCCAUGGUGGAAGGAGAAUAUUCUAAGAUAUGAUUCGAGAGUCUUUGGCCAAAGCAUAUGAAUAUGACUUAGGAAUUUGUUCCAAAUCAUAUUCAACAGAAUCAUAUGGAGAAGUAUCACAUUGGAUAGUAGACAUGAAACAAACUAUCACUCAAACAAUGUGAUUAAGAGUAUUGUAUUAGAGAAGGACCGUAUUGCAUUGUAGUUGUAACUGGAUAGGUUCUCCAACCACUUCUACUUAGCUUGGGUGACCAUGAUAUGCUGCUAGGUGUCACUCAUGGUUUGUGGAUGUUGGAAGUAUGCCCACAAAGCCACUCAUUUGAUGUAAUAGCUUUUGGAAUACUUAUUGUAUUAAACUUUUAUAUGUUUAAUGAAGGGCAAAGCUUAUUGUUAAUCACUAUUUAUUGUAUCAUGUGUUUAAGCAAUAAGGGAAUCCAAGGAAUGUAUUUGUUCUAAGAGAGAAGUGAUCUAAUGAGUUAGAUUAUCGAGACCUCUCUCUUAUGUUCAUUCCUAAAACGUUCCUAGCCAUAGGAUUGCCAAUUGGGCAUUGACAAUCCGCUAAGGUUAGUAUGUGUUAUGUUGACUCAAACGUGAGUGUGAACUAGUCUCAAGUCAUUUGGUGUUGGACACUGAGACAAACACAUAGGUGCUCGAAAAAGUAAUCGAGUACACUGAACGUCGAUCAAAAGAGAGUUCGAACAUACAUGUCAUGUAUGAACUCUAAAGUUGCAAUAUGCAAAGUAGUCCUUUGACCUGAGGCAUCAUAGAUGUCUAAUGGUUAGGUCCUUGAUCUUUGAUCAUGUCAAUGGCAUUCCUUCGGAUUGUCCACGGCAUUGUUGGGGUCAAGCUAUCUAGUCAUGUAGGCAUAUGAAUGCACAACAAGGGAUCUCUAACCUUCCAUGGUGGAAGGAGAAUACUCUAAGAUAUGAUUCUAAAGUCUUUGGCCAAAGCAUAUGAAUAUGACUUAGGAAGUUUGUUCCAAAUCAUAUUCAAAGGAAUCAUAUAGGAAAGUAUCACAUUGGAUAGUAGACAUGAAACAAACUAUCACUUAAACAAUGUGAUUAAGAGUAUUGUAUUAGAGAAGGACCGUAUUAUUGCAUUGUAGUUGUAACUGGAUAGGUUCUCCAACCAAUUCUACUUAGCUUGGGUAACCAUGAUAUGCUGCUAGGUGUCACUCAUGGUUUGUGGAAGCCCUGAAGAUUAGCAAACACUAAUCUUAAGGGAGAAUUGAAAUGUGGUUUCAAUUCACAAUCGAUCGUUAAGAGUAACAUCGCCCACUGCCUCGCUAAUUGGAACCUAAUGGAUCGCACACCACAUAAGGAUGUUAGUGAAGAAAUUAUAUGAAAUGGAUAAGCAAUUAAAUGGUUUAAUUGAAGAAUGGUCAAGAUUAAUUAAUUAGUUAAUUAAUUAUACGAAAAGUUCGUAUUGGGCUUAUAUGUUGGUUUUGGGUUUCGGGGCCCAAAAGUGUUUUGGUCCACAAGGCCCAUUAUGUUUAAGUUGUAUGACAACUAAAACAAAAUGGGCAAAUUAGCCCAAUAACAAGGAGAGGCCGGCCAUUAGGGUGAAUGGGCAAGCUUGCUUAAUUACAAGUUUGCCACUCACCAAAGAAAAUGUUAUAAAAGCAACUUUAUAGCAAUUUUCUCAUUAGGGUUUUUCUUGUUGAAAUUGGGUGAAACAUUUUCUCCAUUUUCUUCUAAGGAGGCCGGCCACUAAAGGAGGGGACAUCUAGCAAUCUCUUCUUCCUUUAGUCAUCCAUAUCAUCUUCACAAUAUACAACCUUGGUGAAGAGACUUAGAGACAUCAAGCUUUUGAUGUUUUUGGAGAACAAAUCCUUUUUCCUCUAAUCAUCAAAGGAGGACUAAAGGGAGGAAAACACAAGGAGGAUUCAAGGAGCUUGGAGGUGACUUGAAGGCCCUCCACUUGGGUGAAUCCCUUGUGUAAACAAGGAUGAGCUUCAAGGGUAAAGAAUCACUAAAUCUUUACUUCUCUUUAAUUUUGUUAAAGAGUUUAUUUUGGUUCACCAUAUACUAGGCUUUGAAAGUCAUGGGUUUUAUGAAUUGUUUUGGAUGCAUGCCUACUUUAAAGUGUUGAUAGCUUGCAUGUGUAUUCAAAUGUUCAUACUUGUUCUUAGCUAGGAAAAAAUUUUUCCUUCAGUGGAAGCCUUGAAGAUUAGCAAACACUAAUCAAAGGGAGAAUUGAAAUGUUGUUUCAAUUCACAAUCGAUCGUUAAGAGUAACAAUCGCCCGCUGCCUCGCUAAUUGGAACCUAAUGGAUCGUACACCGAGUAAGGGUGAAAGUGAAGAAAUAUAAAUAAGAUGGAUAAGCAAUUAAAUGGUUUAAUUGAGAAUGGUCAAGAUUAAUUAAUUAGUUAAUUAAUUUUACGAAAGGUUCGUAUUGGGCUUUUAAGUUCGUUUUGGGCUUCGGUGCUCAAAAGCGUUUUAGUCCACAAGGCCCAUUAUGUUUAAGUUGUAUGACAACUAAAACAAAAUGGGCAAUUAGCCCAAUAACAAAGGUAAGGCCGGCCAUAAGGGUGAGGGUAGCAAACUUGGAUUAAUUACAAGUUUGCCACUCACUUGAAAUGAAGUAUAAAAUCAACUUUAUAGCUUUAUUUCUCAUUAGGGUUUUUCUUGGUGAAAUGAGGUGAAACACUUUCUCUCAUUUUCUCUAAAGAGGCCGGCCACUUAGAGGGGAUUUAGCUAGCAAUCUUUUCUUCUCUAAGUCAUCCAUUUCAUCUUCACACUUCAUUCUUGGUGUGGAGACUUAGAGACAUCAAGCUUUUGAUGUUUUAGAGAACUAAUCCUCAAAUCCUCAAAGAAGCAAAGGAGCACUAAAAGGAGGAAAAUCACAAGGAAGAUCCAAGGAGCAAGUGAAGGAUUAUUUUAUGAAAACAUGUUCUUUUAAGCAACAUCAAUAAGCAUGCAAUUAACAAUUAAGGGCGGAAUCAUGCUUGCAUGCACUUAAAAACAAAACAUUAACCAUGAAAUUCAAAGCCUAGUAGAUUGGUGAACCAAGAAUCAACUCAAAACAUAGUGAGUUGAAAUUUAUACCUUUGUAGAUUCCUCUUUGCAUAAGCAAAGGCUAAUCACCCAAAGAGAGGGCCUUCAUUCCUUGCAUCUUAAAUCUAUGGAUUUGGAUGGAAGAAUAGGUUUCUCCAAGUUCCCAAAAUUGAGAACCUCUAAGUCUCUUCACCAAGGAGAGAUUGGAGAAGAAAUGAGUGACCUUGGAGUAGUGGGAUUGCAAGAUGCACCCCCAAGGUGGCCGGCCUCUUUAGAGAGAAAUGGAGAGACAUGUUCUCUCCAAUUUUCUCCAAAACAAACCCUUAAUGAAUUUUGGCUAUAAAGUCAUAUUUAUACCUUUAUUCAUUUGAGUGGCAAACUUGUAAAUAAGUCCAAGUUCACUACCCUAAACUAUAUGGCCGGCCAUUAGGAUAUUUUGGACUAAUUGGGCCUUUGUGAAUCAUUAUUCAUUAAGUUGUCAUACAACUUAAGUUAAUGGGCUUGACGUUCGAAGCCCAUUGGGCCUUAAGGUCAAAACUAUCCCGAGGUCUUUAACGAACUUAUUCAUUUGAUUAAUUAACAUAUUAAUUAAUCCUUGCCAUAAAUAAAUGAUUAAACCAUUUAAUCAUUCUUACUCUCAUCUCCAUUGUUUCUUCAAUCUCCACCUUACACGGUGUGCGAUCCAUUAGGUUCCUUUUAGCGAGGCAGUGGGCGAUUAAAACCAUUUUACAUCGAUUGUGAAUUGAAACUUACUUUCAAUUCUCCCUUUAGUGAUUACACACGUUUAGGGCUUCCACAAACCAUGAGUGACACCUUGCAGCAUAUCAUGGUUACCCAAGCUAAUCAGAAGAGGUAGAGAAAACCUAUUCAGUUUGGGAUUACAAAUGCAAUACGGUCUUUCUCUAAUACAAUACUCUUGACCACAUUGUUUGGUUUGAUAGUUUAUUUAUUCAUGUCUACUAUCCAAUGUGAUUCAUGUGCUUAUAUGAUUACUUUGAAUGUGAUUUGGAACGCAUUCCUAAAUCUCAUUCAUACUCUGGCCAGAGGUUCUAAAUCAUAUCAUAGAGUAUUCUCCCUCAAACGGUUUGAAGGUUAGAGAUCCCUUGUUGCGCAUUUACUUGCCUUCAUGGCUAAGUGGCUUAACCCCAACGAUGCCAUGGACACUCCAAUGGAAUGACGUUUGACAUAAUCAAAGAUCAAGGACUUAACCACAAGACAACUGUGAUGCCUCAGGUCAAAGGACUACUUUGCAUUAUCCCAACCAUAAGUUCUCAUGUGACAUGAAUAUGAGAACUCUUCGUUGAUCGCGUUAAGUGAACUCAUUCUCUACUGAGCACCUACGUACUUGUCUUGAUGUCACACACACCAAUGACUCGAGACUAGUCACUCUCCCUAAGAGAAGACAUAGCACGUACCGAUCUUGACGGACUGUCAAUGCCCAAUUGGCAAUCCUAUGAUCAGGAACAUUUUCGAUGUGUCUACGAAAGAAUGGUCUCAUGAAUCUAACUUCAUUAGAUUACAUUCUUCCAAUCACAUAUUCCUUGGACUUUAUCGUUUAAGCAUAUAACAUUUAUAUGAGACGGCUCAAACAAUAAUCUUUGCCCUUUAUAGUUAAACUUGAUUAGUUUAACAUGUAAAAUGUCCGUAAAGUAUCAUCAUAUGAUUGGCUUUAGGGCACAUUUCCAACAGCAAGGAGGUGACUUGAAGGCCCUCCACUUGGGUGAAUCCCUUGUGUAAUCAAGGAUAAGCUUCAAGGGUAAAGAAACUCUAAAUCUUACCUUCUCUUUAAAUGAUGUUAAAGAGUUUAUUGGAUCACCAUAUACUAGGCUUUGAAAGUCAUGGGUUUUAUGAAUUGUUUUUGAAUGCAUGCCUACUUUAAUGUGUUAAUAGUUUGCAUAUGUAUUCAAAUGUUCUUACUUGUUCUUAGCUAGGACAAAUUUUUUCCUUCAGUUGGAUCAUAGUCCAAGUGGCCUCUCUCUCUCUAGCCUAAGAUUUAAGUGUUAGAUUAUCAUAUGUGUAAUCAUCUCAUAGGGUGAUAGAAUCUAAAGCUAGGAUUUGAUCUUGUUGUAAGUUCUUAGAGAAGAAUCUCUUUUCUAUCUCCUCUAAGGGUUAUAUUUGGUUAGAGGUGAAUGGAAUAGCAACCAGUACCUUCAUCACUCUCGCAGCACCAUUGCUGCAUAUUCUCUGCAAUUUUCUCUCUUCCAAAACAAUCCAAAAACUUAUAAAAAUCAAUACUAAAAGCUAUGAAUGCUAACAUGGCCUCAGAACCAAGUUCGAUUACCUAAACUAGGCGUGAAUCUGUGAAAAGAAACUGGAAUCAAUUUGAGCUCAUUCGACAAUCAAGAAUGUGCGAUUUCUUGAAUCCAAUGUCUAAUAUGGUAGGAUUGAGUACCACUGUGCUUAGUACUCCAGUUUUCAAUGGAGAAAACUAUGAGUUUUGGAGUAUUCGAAUGAAAACCAUUUUGAAAUCUCAUGGACUGUGGGAUUUUGUUGAAAACGGUUUCGAUACUUCAGAUCUGAAGAAAGAGAAGGAGGAGAUAGAAGAUGAAGCUAAGAAGGGUGAGAUCGCUGAAAUAGAAAAGCUUCCGAUGACUGAAAUCUUGAUGAAGCAUGCUCGUGCACUUGGGUUGAUCCAAGGGGCAGUCUCAGAUCAAAUUUUCCCCAAAAUCAUGAAUGAGGAGACUUCAAAGGGCACUUGGGAUAUUCUCAAGCCAGAGUUCAGAGGGGACAAGCAAGUAAGGAGCAUAAGACUACAAGGUUUGCAUAAAAAAUUUGAAUAUACUCGUAUGAAAGAUAGUGAAUCCUUAACUGCAUAUCUUAUUAGACUGUUUGAUAAAAUGAAUCAAAUGAAGAGUUAUGGUGAGGAUCUAUCUAGGGAAAGAAUAGUGCAAAAAUUAUUGAUUAGUCUGCUAAGAUCAUAUGACCUUAUUUACACAAUGACCUUGAAACUCUUGAGGUUCAGGAGGUUGUAGCUUCUUUGAAAAGUUUUAAACUCAAACUAGAUAAACAUGCUGAAAAUUCCACAAAGAGGGUUUUUACAAGUCUAAAUGUUGGAGCCAAGAAUCCCAAAGGUAGAGGUUAUUCUGGAAAUCAAAAGUUUCAGAAAAACUGGAAAUCUAAUGAGAAUAAAUGGGAUAAUAAGCCCAAUUUUACUCCCAAACCAAAUGUCUCUCAUGAUGGAAACAAAACAGCUUGUAAACAUUGUGAUAAAUUGCAUUAUGGCAAGUGCUAGUUUAAAGGAAAGCCUAAAUGCACAGGUUGUGGGAAGUUUGGGCAUAUACUUAGAGACUGUAAUGGAAAUAAGGAUACACAGAAGGUGAACUAUGUAAACCAAGUUGAAGAAACUGGUUCCUUGUUCUAUGCAUGCAAUGCAGAUACUGAUGUGAAGAUGAAUCAUUCAUAGUACAUUGAUAGUGGUUGUAGUAACCACAUGACAGGUGAUGAGAGAUUGUUAGUCAAUAUUCAGAGAAAUUUGACUUCUAGAGUGAAGAUGAGGACUGGAGAAAUUGUUUAGGUGGCAAGAAAGGGAAUGAAGGAAAUUUUGUGAAAAACAUGUUCAUUUGAGCAACAUCUAUGGCAUGCAAUUAACAAUUAAAGGCGGAAUCAUGCUUGUAUGCACUAAAAAACAAAACAUUACCUAUGAAAUUCAUAGCCUAGUAGAAGGGUGAACCAAGACUCAACUCAAGAACAAAGUGAAUUGAGAAAUCUUAUACCUUUGUUGAUUCCUCUUUGCAUAAGCAAAGGCUAAUCACCAAGGAGAGGGCCUUCAUUCCUUGCUUCUUAGCUCCAUGGAUUUCUUGGAUGAGGAUGGUUGAAAGGAUUCUCCAAGUUCCCAAAGUUGAGAACCUCUAAUUUUUCCACACCAAGGAGAGACUCGAAGAAGAGAUGAGUGACCUUGGAGGAGGGAAGAUUACUAGCCAAUCUCCUCCAAGGGGGCCGGCCUCCUAGAGAGAAAAAGAGAGACAUUGUGUUCUCAUCUUUUCUUCAAAAGAAACCCUAAUGAAGAAAAGGCUAUAAAGUCACAUUUAUACCUACCUUCAUUGGAGUGGCAAACUUAUAAUAAGUCCAAAACCCACUCCUUUAUCAAUAUGGCCGGCCAUAGGGUUUAUUGGGCUGUUUGGGCCUUUGUGAAUUAUUAGUCAUUAAGUUGUCAUACAACUUAAGUCAAUGGGCUUGACGUUCAAAGCCCAUUGGGCCUUGAGGCCCAAAACUAACCCGAGGUCUUUAACGAACUUUAUUCGUUUGAUUAAUUAACAUAUUAAUUAAUCCUUGCCAUAAAUAAUUAAACCAUUUAAUUAUCCUUACUCAUCUCUGUUGUUUCUUCAAUCUCUACCUUACACGAUGUACGAUCCAUUAGGUUCCUUUUAGCGAGGCAGUGGGCGAUUAGAACUUUUUCAAAUCAAUUGUGAAUUGAAACUUACUUUCAAUUCUCCCUUUAGUGAUUAUACACGUUUAGGGCUUCCACAAACCAUGAAUGGCUCCUAGCAGUAUGUCAUGGUUACCCAAGCUAAUCAGAAGAGGUGAACCUAUUCAGUUUAGGAUUAUAAUGCAAUACGGUCUUUCUCUAAUACAAUACUCUUGACCACAUUGUUUGGUUUGAUAGUUUAUUCAUGUUUACUAUCCAAUGUGAUUCUCUUACUUAUAUGAUUACCUUGAAUGUGAUUUGGAACGAUUUCCUAAAUCUCAUUCAUACUCUGGCCAGAGAUUCUUAAUCAUAUCAUAGAGUAUUCUCCCUCAAACGAUUUAAAGGUUAGAGAUCCCUUGUUGCGCAUUCACUUGCCUCCAUGGCUAAGUGGCUUAACCCUAACUAUGCCAUGGUCACCUUCUGACGGAGUGACUUUGACAUAGUAAAAGAUCAAGGACCUAACGACAAGACAACUAUGAUGCCUCAGGUCAAAGGACUACUUUGCAUUAUCCCAACCAUGAGUUCUCAUGUGACAUGAGUAUAAGAACUCCUUGUUGAUCGUGUUCAGUGGGCUCAUUCUCUAUUGAGCACCUACAUUGUCUUGGUGUCAGUCACACCAAUGACUCGAGACCAGUCACUUUCCUUAAGAGAAGACAUAGCACGUACUGAUCUUAAAGGACCGUGAAUGCCCAAUUGGCAAUCCUAUGAUCAGGAACGUUUAGGAUAUGUAUACAAAAGAGAAUGGUCUCAUGAAUCUAACUUCUUUAGAUCGCAUUCUCCCAAUUACAUAUUCCUUGGACUUAUCGUUUAAGUGUAUAACAUUUAUAUGAGGUAGCUUCAAACAAUAAUCUUUGCCCUUUAAAUUAAACUAUAUUAGUUUAACAUGUGAAAUGUCCGUAAAGUAUCAUCAUAUGAUUGAUUUUAGGGCAUAUUUCCAACAAUCUCCCACUUGCACUAGAGCCAAUCAGCUUGGUCAUCAAUGAUGAUACCUCUUCUGUAGUCAUUUCAAAAAUGGUUGAGUAAUAGGCCUAGACAAUGGAUAUCUAUAUGUUAUCCAUAGAAGCAACCUUGAGAAUAACGACAUCACCAAUAUAGAUGAUUCUUAAUCAUGUGGUUUAGUCUCUCAUUUGAGUUCGGAUCUUGAUGAGACCUUGUUUCCCAGGCUUGAGCUAUCGCCUCAUUGGUGUCAUAGUGUCGGUACAUUGGAGACACUUUCUAGUUGGAACCGAAUAGAGAGUUCAUAAAUGAACUUUCCCAUCCAAACAACAUUGUUGUAAACUUCUAUAUGGCAAUAUAUUUUGCAUUCACAAUGGAACACACUAAAGUCAUUACUUUUAAUGUUUCCAUCCAAAUAUCUCUUUAGUAAUAAUAAAAAGAUAUAUGAUUAUCUCUUCAUUCAUAAUGAAGAAACAUCCAAUGAUGGAUUAGAUUCAUAAUCUAAUACAUUUACGCUUCCAUUACGUUACUCUAAUUCUUCCUCAUUUUUUUAGGAAUUUAUCAUUUAGUAUUUCUUAAAUACUUAAGGACUCACUUGACAGUUGCCAUGAUUCUGAUCCUGGGCUUGCACUGAUAUCGUCUUGUACCGAUCUUGGUACAACUCAUAUCAAUGUUUUUCAUAUAAUGAAAUACAUAAAUUACCUUUCUAAGUAUACAUAAAGGAUUAUAUUUACGCAUUAUUUUUUUGGAGUCAAAGGGUAUGUUCCCUUUGAGAAGAGCUACCUCCUAGUCUCACUAGAGUUGUUCUUCUGAUUGAAGUUUAUCAUCAUAUGAGAAACUUCCUAGCAUCUUUUGCCUAUCAUUAGGGCUUGAUAUAAUCCAAUUAUAUCCUGAAAUCUAUCAUUAUAGAUUUCCAUCCCAUGUUUAUAGACUAUGUCUCCCAUAUACCUUCUAUCGUUAUAGAAUGUUUAAAGAAUAACUUUAAUGAAGAAGUAUUUUUUCAUUUCCAGAAUUAAUAUAUCAUAUAUAUAUAUAUAUUCAAAUUUAGGAACAUGAUUGACUCCCACUAAUCUUUUGUAAACCUAGUAAACAAAAGAUUCAUUUACAUCUUUAUGAGAAAUCAAAUGAUUUGAUCUCUCUCUCAUAAGACGCUUAUAGCUCCCACUAGCUUGCUAAGAUUCAUGAUGGAUGGAUCUCUACAACUUACAUGUCUUGUGAUUCAUAUUUUUAGACAUAUAUUAUCAAGAUUAUCUUAAUAAUGGUUUCGGAAACCCAUAUUAUGUCCAAACAUUGAAUCACCAUUUAGUUGUAGCUAGCAAUCUUUGAAUUAAUUGAAACCAAGACUACGCCAAAGAUGGUUUCUUCCAAGUCAACCAAUCUCUUUGAUUGUAGUCACCUUAAGCUACCAAUUAGCUAUUAAAGGUUUCACUAUUUCGGGUCAAAUGGUACUUUACCAUUUCCUUGAGUAUAUGUCAUAUGUACACUCAAUGUAGUCAUAAGGAUUUUCAUUCUUAUUUCUUUCGAAUUAAGAGGUGUAACUCUAUGACAUAGUCAUAAAGUUCAAACCAUUCAACUAAGACGGUUUAUAAAUCAUUCUUGACUACCUUGGAGCUUAUGGUGUAGGAACUAGGUUGCUAUAUUUAUUGAUUAUCGUGUCUCUCAAAGAACCCAUUCUUUGAGUUCUAUCUCUCGUUCAUUUGCGUUAGGCAAAUCAUAUUGUAGGAUUACAAUGAACUACCUAACAAAACAACAUUUGUUAGUUGGUUUAUAGAAGUGAUAUCCGAAGGUUAAUUUAAGGAUAUCCACAAGAUAAUUCUCAAACAAAUAUUUCUUAUUAGCACACAACCCCAAAUCUUAACAUGAUUAAGACUUAUCUUUCUUUCCAACUACAUCCUAUGGAGUCAUGAAAAUUUUGGAAGAUCUUCUAAUUGACAAUCAUAUUGUCUUAGAAAUAUAUAUCCUAUAUAUGGGUAAUUGAUAACAUCCAACAAUCUAAAUCUUAUUCAAGUUCGUUCUUCUCCUAAUGGAGAAAUCCAUUAUCUUAUGAUGCUUCUUUCCUUGAUAUCUUUCAAGGAAACUGUUCUAAAGUGUUACCUUUCCUUGGAUCAAAUCUAAGGAGGUAAUAUUUUAGACGUCUUACUCAUCAACUUACAUUCUUGAAUUCUUUGAAACCUUUUGCAAAGUAUUCGGACUUGUGUUUAUUCAAAAUAAACGAUAGUCCAACCGAAAGCGAUCUUCGGUGAAUGUCAUACAACAUGAGUAGUAUUAUGUUGUUGACAAGUGCCACUAACUUCUAAGUGAAUUAACCUCAACAACUUUGUGAUUCUUUCUUCCUUUCCAAAAGAAUAAAGAUUCAAAGAUUUUGCCUCUAUAAAAUUUUAACAAGAAGGCAUUUCAUCCGGAUCUAACGAUCCAAAGCAUCCAUCUAUGACCAACUCCUAAUUUAUGUUCUAGAGGUAUCACAACUCAGUUGGGAUUAGUCACUACCUUGCAACCUUUUGGGUUUUAAGCAUCGUUAUAUUCUAAAUAGUUAACACUACCAUAUCAUCUCUACUAUAGAGAUAAUCAAUUAGAUUACAAUAAUCUAAUCACUCAUUAAUAAAGUACAAUGUUUUGUCAAACAAAAUAUUCAUCCACUCAUACGAAAUUAAGUUCCUUUAUUCAGAUUGGAAUGUAAAGACAAUCUUUGUUUUUCCAUUUUCUUUGAUAGUUCAUAUGAGGAAGUAAGUACUACCUGCUUUCGCAGAGAUCUACAUUUGAUUCACGUUCCAAAUGUGAAGUACUUUAUCUUCUCUCAUUAAUCUUCAACUUCUUAUUUGCCACACUUUUACAACGAUUGUAAAACAUAGUUACUAAUACGGAAUCAAGCAUUCAAGUAGAAGAACCAACUGUUUUGAACUAUUCAAGAACAAUUUACAACACCUUCGAAAGGUGUGUUCUUGACACUUGCAAGACAUUUCUUGCAAAUACGCCUUCCAAUAUCCAUCCUUUCAUAAAGAAAGUUUGUUCCCUUGGAGUUAUUUCGCCUUCUUCAUUUGACUUCUCCUUUAACUACAAUAGUCAUGGUCCCUAAACUCUCACUAUCUCUCUUGAAACUCAUUUCAAUUGUGUUAUACACAUCAAACAAUUUGGAGAGCGUGUGGUUAUUGUUCACUAUAUAGUUUACAAUAAACUUAGUGAACCAUUUGGAUAUGGACACAAAAGUGAAGUCCUUGCCUAGUUUCCGUCUCAUGAAGUGGUUUAACACUUCAUCACUCAAUGAUUCAAAAUCAUCAUAAGUCCAUGUUGAUGGACUAUAUUUGUCUACCAACUAUUAUGUUCUAAACAUAAUUACAAACUUUCAAGAGUUGUUCAAGGCAACUCUUAUUUCUUCAUACAACAAUUUGUAAGUGAAGAAUCAUGGCACAUAAAGUGUCCACGCCCUUGUGCUUACUUCUCAAGUUCUUUGUUCAUUUAACAAAGACACAAGCACUAGUGUUUGCAUUAACUAAGGGUUGUUCAAAGCAACUCUUACUUCUUCAUACAACAAUUUGUAAUUGAAGAAUUAUGACAUUAAAAGUGUUGUCCUGUUUAUGAUAGACUUAUCUAACAUGUUCUUCCAAUGAUACAUUAUCAAUAGGAAGAUUGCGAGGAUGAGACUACUGUUGGAAAUGUGCCCUAAAACCAAUCAUAUGAUGAUACUUUACGGACAUUUCACAUGUUAAACUAAUCUAGUUUAAUAUAAAGGGCAAAGAUUAUUGUUUGAGCCGUCUCAUAUAAAUGUUAUAUGCUUAAACGAUAAAGUCCAAGGAAUAUGUGAUUGGAAGAAUGUAAUCUAAUGAAGUUAGAUUCAUGAGACCAUUCUUUCGUAGACACAUCCUAAAUGUUCCUGAUCAUAGGAUUGCCAAUUGGGCAUUGACAGUCCGUCAAGAUCGGUACGUGCUAUGUCUUCUCUCAGGGAGAGUGGCUAGUCUCAAGUCAUUGGUGUGUGUGACAUCAAGACAAGUACGUAGGUGCUCAGUAGAGAAUGAGUUCACUGAACACGAUCAACGAAGAGUUCUCAUACUCAUGUCACAUGAGAACUCAUGUUUGGGAUAAUGCAAAUUAGUCCUUUGACCUGAGGCAUCACAGUUGUCUUGUGGUUAAGUCCUUGAUCUUUGAUUAUGUCAAUGUCACCCCAUCGGGGUGUCCACGGCAUCGUUGGGGUUAAGCCACUUAGUCAUGGAGGCAAGUGAAUGCGCAACAAGGGAUCUCUAACCUUCAAACCGUUUGAGGGAGAAUACUCUAUGAUAUGAUUUAGAAUCUCUGGCCAGAGUAUGAAUGAGAUUUAGAAAAGUCGUUCUAAAUCACAUUCAAGGAAAUCAUAUAAGAACACGAUUCACAUUGGAUAGUAGACAUGAAUAAACUAUCAAACCAAACAAUGUGGUCAAGAGUAUUGUAUUAGAGAGAAGGACCGUAUUGCAUUUGUAAUCCUAAACUGAAUAGGUUCUUAACCUCUUCUGAUUAGCUUGGGUAACCAUGACAUACGGCUAGGUGUCACUCAUGGUAUGUGGAAGCCCUAAACGUGUAUUAAUCACUAAAGGGAGAAUUGAAAGUAAGUUUCAAUUCAUAAUCGAUUUGAAAGAGUUUUGAAUCGCCCACUGCCUCGCUAAAAGGAACCUAAUGGAUCGUACACCGUAUAAGGUGGAGAUGGAUGAAACAAACUAAAUGAGUAAGAACAAUUGAAUAGUUUAAUUAUAUAUGGCAAGGAUUAAUUAAUAUGUUAAUUAAUCAAACGAAUAAGUUCGUUAAAGACCUCGGGAUAGGUUUUGGACCUUAAGGCCCAAUGGGCUUCGAACAUAAAGCCCAUUGACUUAAGUUGUAUGACAACUUAAUGAAUAAUGAUUCACUAAGACCCAAAAGCCCAAACAACCCCCCAUGGCCGGCCAUAUAGAGAAAGGGUAGUGAACUUGCUUUAAUUACAAGUUUGCCACUCAAAUGAAUAAAGGUAUAAAUAUGACUUUAUAGCCUUUUAUUCAAAAGGGUUUUGUUUUAGAGAAAAUUGGUGAGAAUUGUCUCUCCAUUUCUCUCUAGAAAGGCCGGCCACCAUGGAAGUUGUAGCUAGCCAUCUAUUCUUCUAUGGUCACUCAUUUAUCAUCCAUGCUCUCCUUGGUGUAGAUCCAUCCAAAUCCAUGGAUCUAAGAUGCAAGGAAUGAAGGCCCUAUCUCUUGGGUGAUUAGCCUUUGUUUAAAUACAAAGAGGAAUCUACAAAGGUAUAUAUUUCAACUCACUUUGUUUUGAGUUGAUUAAUGGUUCAUCAAUCUACUAGGCUUUGAAUUUCUUGGUUAAUGUUUUGUUUUUAAGUGCAUGCUAGCAUGAUUCCGCCUUUAAUUGUUAAUUGCAUGCUUAUAGAUGUUGCUUAAAUGAACAUGUUUUCACAAAAUCAUCCUUCAAGUGGUAUCAGAGCCUAGGUCUAGUAGUUGGUGAAUCCUUUUGGGUUUUGUGGUUCAUAGUUUGUGAUUUAAAAGUUGUAAUUGUUACAAGCUUUAUUCUUGUUUCUUUGAAUGUAAAUUUUGUUAGAAAAUUUGCCAUCUCAAAUGUUGUAGAUGUAGUUCAUAUGAGCAUGAAUAUUGGAGCUAAAAUUUGGUGCCAUGACUUUGGGGAUUUUCGGCCAAAUCCAAAGGGUGGAUUUUUGGGUUCUUGUUUGACUUGUUAAAAGUGUUUUCAAGUGACUUUUGGAACCCCUAUGUACCCUAGUUUGGUUAGAUGUUAUUUCCCUAAAGUUUGAAUGGUUUUGGAAUGUUUUUGGGUGAAAAAAAGUUCAUGGAAAAAUUUUGGGUUUUUCAUGAAUGUUCUUCAUUGUUCUUGACAUUUUUGCCAAGAACAAAAAGGUUUGUGUUUUGAUUCAAAGUUUUGAUUUAUUACAUAAAGUUUAUGUUUUAUGUUUUUCAAAUGUUUUAAUGCAUAAGAUAUUAUUUGAAGGUGAUGGAAAUGGUGAUGGGUGUGUAAGGAUUAAUUUCCUUUCACACACACCACUUGCACCACUUGUUGCUUUAUGUCUAAAACUCACAAAUCAACACACACAUCACUCUAUCCUCUUCCAAAACCGGCCACCCUUGCAAGUGGGGUACUUUUGGGUCUUUUAUGCAAUUACAUAAAGUUUUGAUACUUUUGUGUAUUUGCACUUUGGCCCAAAAGUUUACGUUUUUACGUUUAGGUCCAAAAACGCUAAAGGACAAAUUGUUUUGAUCCUUUAAUGAAGUUUUUGCAUUGAUUAAAUUUUGGGUUCUAGUGUAAUUACAUGAAGUAGUGGACUUUUGUGUCUUUACAAAGUGACCCCAAAAGUUUUGCAACAUAGCCCAAAAGUUGAGGUUAAUUGCUUAAUGACCCAAAUAAGUUGUGGUUAUUGCAUGAUGGCCCAAAUUAGGUUGAGAACAAAAUUGUUUUGUCUCUUUAAAUGAGAAUUGGAUUUUCAUUUUGUUUAGCUCCAUUUAAAUCAAUUUUAUGGAUACAAAAACCAAAUGAAAAUGUUGCAUUCAAUUUAAUUAGUUAAAGUGUUAAUUAAUUAAAGGGUGAUUAUGAACCUAAGCCUAAUAUAAUUGAGCUAUGUGAUAGGCCGUUUCAAAUUUGUUUGAACCAUGGGAAUGUGUAGAUUAAUUUUGGUUGUAAUUUGAUUUGAUCAAAUGUUGUAAAAGGGCUUAAGCUCUUCUUUACUUUAAAGUAAUUUAUAUUAUGCAAAUGUUGUAAUGAGCAUAAGCUCACCUUUACUUUGAAGUACUUCUUUCUUGCUUUAUAUGAUAUGCAUGAAAAUGAAGUAGUUGGGUCCAACGCCCCUAAGACAACACGCCUUAAUGUGAUUAAACGCGUAACUAAAAUCAAUCACCAUCCCUAGACCGAGAUUCAACACAAGGCUCGUGUUGAAUCUAAACAAAGGUUCAUAGUCAUCCUAAGGCCCUAAGGCAACUAUAUAGUCCAUCAAAUGAAUGCAAAGGUUAUGUUAGUAGUAUCAUAUACUCUUGCUUUAAAAACCGUUUUAUAAGCAUAGUGGGAGUAUUAUAUACAACUAAAUCAAUCAUAUGGACCAAUAGUUGUAAUAGGACCAAAUAGUUUUAAUAGAGAUUAAAAUGUAUAUUUAUAUGUGAUGAGACCUAAAACCCUCAACCAAACCAUUAUUAAGUUGAUAAGCGUGAGAGUGCUUAGAACACUCUUUCGUAGGCCUUCCACCGUGGUGGGCUCCAAUCGUUUAUGACUUGUACACCGGCUUCACCCUAUCAUGGGGGAGUACAAAGUGCAUGCUUAUACUCAGGAGGAAUCCAUAAACAUAUGAUGAGGUUAGUGUAGGCAACGAGGAUUGCCGACAUCGUAUCAUCGUGAGGCUAUUCUUGAACCCCUUCACGAACUAAGCAUGGUGGGAAUGACUUAACUAAGUGCAAUGGAACCAACAUCAUAUCAUUGUGAGGUGACAUUCUCUAGAGGCCAAAUAAGAUGGGUACUUGCAUUAGUUGCAAAUGAGUAAGCGUACUCUCUCAUUAUUAUUAAUGCUAGCCAACAUCAUAUCAUUGUGAGGUGGGCUUGGUAAUAGUGAGCCUCCCAUACCCUACUAAGAGUUUCAUCCAAAACUCUCGAAUUCCAAUGAGGGAUAUGGAAUUUGCCAAAAAUAGUGGGUGGUGCUAUUUUGAUUUAAAGACCCGAAUCAAAUGGCUUAAAAUCAAUCAAUUUAUAUUCGUUAUGUAUUUGUUUACCAAUAUAUUUGCAAACGCUAUCCAAAACUUGACAAAUAAAAACCGAAUGUUUUAGUUUCCGGACUUGGUACCACAAUCCCAAAGAAUGUCUUAAAAGGAUUGCAUAUGUACCUAAGUAGUCUCAUCCUCACAAUCUUUCUAUUGGUAAUGUAUCAUUGAAAGAACAUGUUAGAUAAGUCUAUCAUGAAGAGGACAACACAAACAACCAAUGCUUAUUCCUUCGUUAUAUGAACAAAGGAACUUACGAAG
rnacentral:lncRNA from 1 species